rnacentral:lncRNA from 1 species
AUUUUAUUUUAUCUUUAUUUUAUGGUAAAAGCCUACCACAGUUCAAUAUGACAUUUUAUAAUUUUAUAAUUUAUACUUUAUUAUUCUGUGAUUUGUAAAAAAUAUCACUUUGUUAUUCUAUUUAAUUAUUUGCCUUUUUUGGUAAAAUAAAAAUAUAAAAUUAAAAUAUAGUUAACUGUAAUAUUUUGAACUAUAAUAUUAAAAUAUAGUUAACUGUAAUAAAAAUAUAAAAUUAAAAUAUAGUUAACUGUAAUAUUUAAAAAUUUAUAAUUAUAAAUUCAUAUGUUAUAUUUUAUUAGAAAAUAUUUGUAAUAUUCUAUAUAUUUUUUUACAUAUAUUAAAUAUUUAUAUAUAUUUUUUAUUUCUGAUGAUCUAAAAUUUAAAUAUGUGUUUUAAACAAAAAGCAUCAAAAUUUAAUUCAUAUUUAUUUCAAAAUUGAGACUUUUUUAAUUAAGUGACCGUUCAUUUUUAAUUUACACAACCAUUCGUAGGUUUGGAUUUCUUUAUUGAUGGAUAAAAAUACUAUUUUUUAACAGAUUAAUUAUAACUAUUUAUUCUUAUUUUAGAUUUUUUUAAUUAACUGAUUAUACUCGUUCGUAUCCGUUCGUAAGAAAUAUAGAGAAUAUUUUUUUAUUCUUUUUUCGAUUCCAUCUGUUAUUGUCGAAAUUUUUAUAUGCUUUUAUAUAUAGUAUAGAUAUGGAUAUAGAUAUAGAUAUAGAUAUAGAUAUAAAUAGAUAAAGACCCGUUUGGUAUAAAGUUAGGAUAAAAAUAUAGCUAAAUUACAUAAAAUAUUCUCUGUCAAAAUCCAAUUUUUUACUUUCUCCCCUGUUAUUUAAAAACCUAUACUUUACUCUCUUAUAAAAUAAAAAAUGUUCACUUCAUCUUUGCCGUUGUGGUCCGUUAGGGUUUCAUUAUAAAUAUUAUUAUAUAUUUUUUAUGUCAAAAAAUGUUCUCAGUUUUUUCUCUUGUUGCCAAAAAUGAUGAGGGACAAAAUGGUCAUUUUGUCAUCACAGUUUACACCGUACUCCUGUAACUAUUUUUUAUUUUACAAGAAGACAAAGUAUAUGUUUUGAAAUGACAGGAGGAAAAAUAAAAAACCGAAUUUUGACAAAAGAAUUUUAUAUAAUUUAGCCUAAAAAUAUAUAGAGAUAUUUUCUAUGUUUUUUCAUAGUACAGUAAAAAAUAUAUUAUAAUCGACUCAUUAAAAAAUACGAAAUACAAUAUUAAUAUAGAAAAUAAAUUGUCUCAUCUCAUGUAACGCAACUUUUUUCGCAAUUCAAAACAGCGCCUAAACUACAAGGAGUUCCGACACAUUUUUGUCAAACAACUUAAUUAAUUAUAAGAAAAAGUUGAGGGACGGCUUUCAAAAUUUCUCAUAGCUGAGGGUGUCUUCUUCAUUUCUCCCAAAACCCCCUUAAACCCCUUUUAAGAUUUUAAUUAAUUAAUAAUUAACUCCAUUCAAAAGUAUAUUUUUUUCCCUUUUUUUUUUUUUUUUUUUUUUUUUUUUGCUAUUUUAAACUUUUUUGAAACCCUAACUCCCCAAUUUUACCUCAACCGAUUCGCCCGAUUCGCGAUCGCUAUCGCGUCUCCAAUGGCGAUCGUUGUGCGAUCCAUCGCUUUCUCCUCCCCCAAAUCCCCUUCAAAACCCCACCACCCUCUCCAUGGCCGGAGCAGGGCGUCAUCAUCAUCAGCUGCUGCGAGAGGAAGCGCUUUUGGAGUCCGCUAUAAAUAUAAGCGACCCCCCCAUCCCCCGUGAGCUCAAUUUGUUCUCUUCCCCUCGAAGAUCCCCCUCUUUGCGUUCACGGGAACCUCUGAGGCCCCACCCCCAACACCCUCCCCCUUUGGGGUUUUGUGGGGGGUGGAUUUUGGUAUAAGACAAAGCCCCAGAUCACCCUUUGCACAUCUCUUUCACCACCCCACCAUUUGGGGUUUAUUUCAAAUUUUUUGAGGUUCCUUUGAAGGAUAGGUUUCCGUGAAGUGUCGCUUUGCGCUGUAAAAGAAGCUUCUUUGGGUGUUUCCUUUGGUUAAUGCUUAUAUAGAUUGGUAGAUUCUUAUUUGAUUCAUAUUUCUCUGUUCUAUUGGGUGGGUUCUUCUCUCAGAUUCCACAAAUUUUUCAUUUUUUUUGUCCAAUUUGGUUUUGUUAUUUAUCCUGUGGGUUUCUCUUCUAUGCCACUUUAGAUCCGUAAAAAGAAAAAAAAAAAUCACAUAUUUUGGUUGUUCUUAGUGUCCUUUUAACCUCUUAUCAUUAGUUGCGUACUUUGAUCCCAUAAAGUUCCAAUUUUUCUCUUUUUAUGCCACUUCAGAUCCAAAAAAGGAACAAAAAUCGCAUCUUUUGGUGUUCUUCUUAGUGUUCUUUUAGUUUCUUCAAAUGGCACCCAAAUGGUUUUGUUUCCUUGUUCUCUUUUUAUUUGCGACAUUUGUUAAUGUUUGUGCAAAGGAAUGCACAAAUACUCCGACGCAGCUUUCGUCGCACUCCGUCCGGUACCAGCUUACGACCACCACCGAUGAACACUGGAAAUCGGAAAUGCUCUCGCACUACCAUCUAACCCCGACCGACGAAUCCACGUGGAUGGAUUUGAUGCCGAGGAAACUCCUGAACAAGGAGGCCCCGGUCGGAGAACUCGACUGGUUGAUGCUUUACAGAAGCAUCAAGAGUUCAGGCGCCAUCGAUUCGUGGCAAGGAGGGAACUUCUUGUCGGAAGUUUCGCUCAAUGAUGUGAGGAUCGAUCCGGAUUCGAUUUAUGGGAGAGCGCAGCAAACGAACUUGGAGUAUUUGUUGUCGCUGGAUGUGGAUCGGUUGGUGCAUAAUUUCCGUAACCAGUCCGGUUUGCCGGCGCCCGGCAAACCCUACGGAGGGUGGGAGGCAGCCGAUGUUGAGCUUAGAGGGCAUUUUGUAGGUCAGUAGUCGCUCAAUUAGUAUUGAAUAGUUGUUGAUUCAGUUUCAGAAUCCUUUUUCUGAUUUAUUUUCUCUGCAGGGCGCAUACAAGUUGGAAUCUUGAACUACUAACAACUUUAUAAUUGUGCAUAAAUCACUUCACUAUUGUUGUUUUGGCAUAUUCAUAGUUUAGGAUGAGUGUUAUUUAUGUUUAUUUAUGCAGAUUCAAGUCAAUGGUUUUUAUCUAUCAAAUUUGAGAUAUUGCUUGAGUUAAGAGUAUUUUAAUAUUUUCCGAACACGUAAAAGGGAAUUAUGAAAGAUUUUGUAUAAUUCUAUCGCACGACAAACUGAGCCGCCUUUGUCUUCUUCGACUCUCCUUUCAUGACUUUUGUUUUGAGCGACAAAAUAUUAUCUCUAGUUGUAUUAAUUUCUCUCCAUGUUGUUAUCUAUGUAUAGUGAAAUUUAGACUAUUUAGCACAGGAAUAUUUUGAAACGAUCAUUUUCUCUUCAGAAUAGAGAUGUUCAAAAUAUUUUGGCCUACUUAUACUAAUUUUAUUUUAUGGUUUAGUACUUUAGUUGUACCGUUUUCCACUUCAGCCCCAACCCUUUUAAUUUUUGCGGGUGGGUCCUUUUGUGAUGUUAACAUUCAUUCUUGCUUUGUUUACUGGGCAAAAUCUUUAUUACUCUCUGAAUUUCCCGUCUUACUGUGAUGUAAAAUCAAGUCGAUGUUCUCUUGUUGCGUUUGCAGGGCACUACAUGAGCGCGAGCGCACUCAUGUGGGCUAGUACGCAUAACGAUACUCUCUACGGCAAAAUGACGUCAGUGGUCGAUGCGCUCUAUGAUUGCCAGAAACAAAUGGGCACGGGAUAUCUUUCUGCUUUCCCGACCGAAUUAUUCGACCGCUUUGAAGCCGUGAAGUAUGUUUGGGCACCAUAUUACACCAUACACAAGGUAGGUGCUUUACAUGCUAGAUCAUCAUUAGUAAUAAAAUGAGUUUCUUUUGCAAAACUCAUUAAAUCCUUUUUUUCCCCGACUUCACAAACAAACCUACUUUUACCUUUUGGCUAUUACUUUUUAUUUGAAUAAUAAGUUAAUAUUGAUGUUUCAACAGAUUAUGGCAGGCCUGCUCGAUCAGUAUACGUUUGCUGGGAACUCGAAAGGUUUGGAAAUGGUGGUUUGGAUGGCCGAGUACUUUGGGAAUCGCGUGAAGAAUGUCCUACAGAAGUACACUAUAGAGAGGCAUUGGACGUCCCUCAACGAAGAAACUGGUGGAAUGAAUGAUGUUCUUUAUAGGCUCUAUACUCUAACAGUAAGCUUCUUUCUUUGAUCUUUUAAGCGAUUAACUUUCUCUUUUGCGACAAUUUAGCUGACAAGUCACGGAUUUAAGUGCCCAUUCGCGUGGGCCGUGCCGACUGUGCUAUAUUGUGCCCAUCGGCGUGGGCCGUGCCGAUCGUGCUAUAUUGUGCUAACAGAAUAUCAGCAUGAUAUGGCUCCUGUGCCGAUGGCAAGGCUCAAAGGCCUCUUUUCAUUGAAUAAAUAGUUACCUCAAUAAAGUGCAAAAGAUUUGAUAAGUACAUAUGAUAAGCAAUUAGAAUAUAUUAAUGCUAAAGAUAACAAAUAUUUCAUAUCAUAGUGUGUCGGCACAUAGGUAUUUUUGGGACCAACACACACGGCACGGCACACAUUGUGCUAGCAAGUUCUUGGCAUGAUCCCGUACCACGGCACUUAAAUCCUUGUGAUAAAUAAUUAGAUUUUAGAAUUAUCUUCAUUCAUGGACGCAUUUUGGAAUUAUUAUUUAGGUUUGGCGUGCCAAGAUGGGAGGUUUUAGUUUUUAUCUUUCGUUUCCUCUUUGUAGUCUUGUUUCAUAUGGGAUUUCUAAAUGCUUUUUGAUGGGUUUAUGCAGAAAGACGAGAAGCAUUUGAUCCUGGCACAUCUUUUUGACAAGCCGUGCUUUCUUGGAUUGCUUGCUGUUCAGGUGAAAAAUAAAUUCAUUCAAUCGAAUGAAAUUUCUACUUAUUUGUGUAUGUAUGUUGGUAUGAACUCUAUUCAAUAAACAAAUGGUAACUCUAUGAAUAUAAAUGGGUUAUACUUUUCAAAAUUCUAAUUUUUUGGUAUUCAAAACGUUGCAAUAGAUUUUUCCUGUUUUUUAUCUUUUAGUUGGCUAUCCAAAUAUAUGUUUCUGUUUUUUAAACCGUUCAAAGGUAGAUUUUUCACCUUUUUUUUAAAAUUUCAGGCUGAUAGUCUUUCUGGGUUCCAUACCAACACGCACAUCCCAGUCGUGGUCGGUGCACAAAUGCGAUAUGAGAUUACUGGUGAUCCGCUUUACAAGGUAAAAUAUUAGUACAUACAUUUUCGUCGUCUUAUUUUGUUUGGUCACAUAAUGCUUUGUUCUAUUAUAGAAUAAGAAAACCUUACUGCACCUUUGCUUUUAUAGCCGUGCACAAUCAGAUAUUUAAAUAUAUAGCUCUGUGAAGCAUGAAUUUUCAUGUAUGUCCCUUGAAAAUGCAUUUUCGUACAAAAAUACCCUAAUGAGCACUAAUGAGCAUGUCUCUUUUGUUAUUAUUAUUUUUGUAUUUAAAACAAAUGUUUGAUUAUUUAGACUCUUUAGUAGCGAAAUUGGAUGAAUCUGAUUGUGCCAUUAAUUCGCUCAGGAAAUCGGAACAUUCUUUAUGGACAUUGUGAAUUCGUCCCAUGCGUAUGCAACCGGUGGAACCUCCAUCAGUGAAUUUUGGUAAUUGUAUUAUUAAUGAAGCUUCCUUUUAGGAAAUUAAAUUACAUUUCAUCCUUUUUAUCAACUGGAUGUGGCAUCUAUUUUUCGUACAGGUCCGAUCCAAAACGUUUAGCCGACACCUUGCACACAGAGAAUGAAGAAUCUUGCACUACUUACAAUAUGCUUAAGGUUGGUGAAAAAAUUUUUAGAAUUGUUUUUGAACGCAAUGUAAGAAAAUUCCAACAUGGUGUAGAUAUUGGGUGAGAAUAAAAAUCUCUAUCUUUCUUAACAGUAAAUUAUUAAGAACUUUAUUACUCUUUUUUUUACAUUGCUCGUAUCUACGCAGGUCUCUCGCCACUUAUUUAGAUGGACGAAGGAAAUUGCAUAUGCCGAUUACUACGAGAGAGCCCUCAUAAAUGGCGUCCUUAGCAUCCAACGAGGAAGGGAACCUGGAAUUAUGAUCUAUAUGCUUCCUCUGGGAUCAGGGCAGUCGAAGGCACGCAGCUAUCAUGGUUGGGGAACAACGAAUGAGUCAUUCUGGUGCUGUUACGGGACAGGUAACGAAACAUUUCCUUAGAGCUUUUAUUCCUUUUAGGCACAAUUUUUGGCUUUAAUUUAGGUAAAAUAGUAUAUCUAAAUAUUCAUAUGUGCCCUUAAAAUCGUAGUUGCUUUUGUAUAUACCCUUAAAUCUUGCAAAACCACCCUUCUUUCCAAAGCCUUUUUUUAACUGUAAAAUCAAGUACCCCCCAUGAAAGUGGCGAUUCCCGAAUUUAAGAUGAUGGUAUUUUUUGUGAGAAUCAAAACUUUUUGAGGGGCAUUCUAAUAUAUAGAGUUAAUUUGGCCGUAGAUUGAUGACUAGAAUGAUUGUGCGCUAUUAGUUUUACAUUGUUGGCGUCCCUAUUCGUUUCAUAUAUGCAAACCGACAUCCAACUUAAGCACGCUCUUUUGACAUUAUCUUUACUCCGCAGGAAUCGAGUCAUUCUCAAAGCUAGGAGAUUCUAUUUACUUUGAGGAGAAGGGAAGUACGCCCGGGCUUUAUAUCAUACAAUUUAUCCCAAGUACUUUUAAUUGGAAAGCCCGAGGGAUUUCUCUCACUCAAGAAGUAAAGCCAGUUAGCUCGUCGGAGCCAUUUCUUCAAGUUACACUCACUGUUUCUGCAAAUGAGGUAAAGCCUAUUUAUCCUACUGUGUGGAUUGUGAGACUAUGCUACCUCUAUUAAACCUGUGAGCGAAGCGGUGGAUAUUUUGCACAAUGGAACACUGGAGAGGGCGGCAAAUUGAUGAAAUCUUCGUGAAUAUAGCUCUUUUCCUUUUUUUUUCAUUUUGUGUGCAAUGGGUGUUGAAGAUCUUUUAUCUGAGUGUAUGCUCCAAAAGAGUUAAUUUGUCGUACCGUGUCUCGCAAUUGCAGGGGAACAAUCCGUCUUCGACAUUGAAUGUGAGAAUACCAUCUUGGACAUCUCGAAGUGGCGCGAAGGCUGCUUUGAAUGCUCAAAGUUUAGAUCUUACUAAUCCAGGUAAGUUUGGUCCUUUCUUUGACAUGUAUCUUUUUCUGCUGUGCAGGUCUCAUUUCUUGCCUUAAAUCUAUGUAGUGUGCAGGUUUUCAUUCUGUAACAUUCACACAAAAUAAAAUGAAGGCUGCAUUUUUUCACGUAUAUGUACCAUAUAUCCCCAUAGGAAGUUACAUUAUCUGCAUAUAUUCUUAGGAUUAGCCUCUAUUUGCAUAUGCGCCACUAAAAUUAAUAGCUACCCCUAUUCUGUGAGAAAUAGCCAAUAUUUCUGUGCAUGCCCCUCUGCUUAAGAGCUUUUGGCACUGAAAUGUGGUAUGAGCAAAGAGUUAUACCACAAAUAAAAGUUAUUGCCAAGGUUUUAUAGGUCCAAAUAUAUAUAGGCCCAAGGGUAUAGCUGCAAAUAUAAGUAUCUCAAGGGGUAUAUAUGCAAGAAUAAUAUUGAAUAAUGUUUUGGAAACUCAUUAAAGGGCCUUUUUGCCCCUUUUGUAGAGUUUAGUGUCGUCUGAUUGAAGUGUUGUUUGAUUAGUGCUAUUAGAAGCACUAUAUUGAGAUACCCUCGACAGCUUCCUUCUUUCUGCAACAAAACGCGAAGCAUCAAAUUGGAGCUUCUUCUGCUUUCGACGCUCAAAAUCUCAUUUCUCCUUUUUUUCCUCUGCAGCGGAAGUCAUAGAUUUUUCUCUUUGCCACUUGCAGGUGAUUUCCUCUCGGUCACCAAAAACUGGGCUUCAGGUGAUACUUUGGACCUUCAAUUUCCCCUCAGUUUGAGGACAGAAGCCAUAAAAGGUUCGUAAACUCUACAUAUAAGUUUUUCAUUCCAUGAACGAAAAGUAGUUGUUCUAUAUAUAAAUAAAGACUGAUUAUUUUCUAAAUUUCGUUUAGGUAAUUGUUUUUCUUUGGUUUUCGACAGAUGAUCGACCCGAAUAUGCGUUGAUUCAAGCAAUCUUAUAUGGCCCGUACCUUCUUGCCGGCCUCUCAACCGGCGAUUGGGAUGUAAACGCGGGGAAUUACAGCGGUAUUUCCGAUUGGAUAACCCCCGUCCCAUCUUCAUACAAUUCUCAGCUUUCCACUCUCACCCAACCGUCCGACAACAGCAACACCUUGUUCGUCACCUACUCAAACACUUCCCUCACAUUGGAACGCCAACCCGAACCCGGCACCGACUCUGAGGUCCAUGCAACGUUCCGAAUCUACACUCUAGAUUCGAAGGGCCGGCGGUCCAUAGUAAAUAGCCCUAAAUUGGGAAGCUACGUGAUGAUCGAACCGUUUGAUCUUCCGGGAAUGGUGGUCACCAACAGCCUCGCAAUCUCGAGGACGAAAGGCCCGGACACGGUGUUUCAUUUGGUUCAAGGAUUGGAUGGGAACCCCAAUUCGGUUUCGCUGGAGCUAGGGAGCAAGCCGGGGUGCUUCGUGCACGGCGGAGCGGGUUCUUCCAACGGGACGAAGGUUCAAGUUCAAUGCCGAGGAAGUUUGAAAGACGGUGCGGAAUUCAGUAGAGCGGCGAGUUUUGUUAUUGUCGAUGGGCUGAGAUCAUACCAUCCGAUUAGCUUUGCGGCGAAGGGUGCGAAGCGGAAUUUCUUGCUGCAGCCACUGAUGAGCCUGAGGGAUGAGAGUUAUACAGUCUACUUCAAUCUGGGUGCUUGAGGAAAGUGUGGAGAGAGAUGUUAGGAUCUAAGAAUAAGUCGCUGACGGCGAUUUUUUUUUUUUUUUUUCUUUUGAAUUUGCUUGGUGUACAUAAUCGAAAUCUCACGAUUUCGCUUUAGUUUAGUGCUUUCGUUAGCUGUAUUUAAGUCCGUUUUUAGGUGGCUUAUUUCUCCUCAUUUUGUGCAGAAUAAGAACUUCGAUUCGAAGCAUGAUAAGCUCAUGUAUUGAAUGAAAUAAACAUGCGAUUUCUUUCGAGAAAGUGUUGUAAAAAGUAUUGCUUUGAUGGGUUAUCUUUUUGCUUGUGUGUGCUUAAUGUGAUUAUCUGCCAAAAUCAGUAGAGCUCCUUUUAGGAUAGACAAAAGAAAAAAAAAAAUCAAAUAUUUGAUUCCUCCUGAGAGCGUACAAAUGACUUCGCGACCAUGUUUCAAUUCGAGGUCAAAUUCAAAUUCAGUUAAACAUUAUGCUUUUACCAUCUACUAUAUAUAUACACACUAAAAGUUAUACAGAAUCAUUGUACAUUCGCAUUAUUUUCGAUGAUGGGAGCAUUCAAUCGAGGAGUUUGAAAUAAAGAUACAAAAAAUAAAUAAAUAAAUAAAGUUAUAACAAACGGUGGAAACACAAUUUAAGAGUUAAAUCAUGUUGUUUAUUAUUUCUUUGAACAUUCCUUCACCAAUAAUGACCAAAGUUUCAAGGCCUAAUAUAUUUGCACAAAAGCUUUUUACUUUACAGCAACUCGGGAGCGGGAGCUCUUGAACCUUGGACUGCAAUAACUGUAAAAACAGAAAGACGCAAAGCAGCAAAUUCUUUUCAAAUUCAAACCGAAAAAAAAAAAAAAAGUUCAGAAUUUAAAUAUUGCUCACUUCGGAGAAAGACGAAGUAAUAAACUCAGUUUUGAGAUUCACAUGAUAAAAGCUAUUUUGCCCCAAAACAAUCCAGUGAAGUUAAGAACCUGCAAGCCCUCCCCAUAUAAUCGCAAACCAGAGAUGAGAAAAAUCAAAAACUUGUUUUUCACAAAGAAAUCUUACUGUAUAAGAACCCAACUAAAGAAAUAUACAACAUUCAGAUUCAAGUCCACAAGGUCGGUUAGCAUUCAUUCAAUGUAAUCUAGAUUCCAAAAUUUAGGAUAGAAAAAUGCUAAUGAGAUACAAUUUGUACAAUCAAAGAGCUCUCGCGCUAAUGCGAUGCAUUUGCAGGUUUGUCAAUAGAAACGCUAUAAAGAGGAACAGACAUUUGAUUUACCAAAAGCAACAUCUUUUUCUCUUCUUUUUUUUUCUUUUUUUUUCUCUCUAGAGCAGACAAAAGACUUCCACACAGUAGGGUUCGGUUUACUGCAAAUGAUUACAUCUCUUUUUUCCUGCUUUUAGAUGAUGCUUACUAUCGCUACUGCUAAGAUUUAUACUGAAGGUUUAUCUUUUACGCCUUUUCGACUGCCUGUUGCUUUCAAUCCUUUGCUGCACCUUCUGAAACUCUUCUUCUGUGGGUUCUGAAGAAGCGUCCGCAUCGUGCUUUCCCAUGAUAGAAGAAAUGAUGGAAUCAAAUUGCUCUUUCCUCUGGGUUCUCCGCUGCAUGAUUGCUAAUGCCAAAUCUUCGGUUUCUUUUUGCUUCUUCUUUGACCUAUGAAGAUUCCAAGAAUAAAAAACAAAUAAAUGAAUAGUAAGCUCAUAAGAAAAGCUGAUUGAUGAUUUGGUGAACAUAGUCUAGAAAAAGAGAAGCACUCACUUCACUCGCCUCUUUAGAGGAUCAGUGGGAGGCUCCAUUUGAGAAACUCGCUUCGCCCAUUUCGCGUAAGCUUUAGUUGACUUCAAUUCACCUAGCACGAAAAAUACAGGGAAAAUUAUCGGCACCUUCGUUCUAAUAAUACUACUAUAUACACUGUAAAAUUAUGAAGGAAAAGGGAAUUAAUGUCAUUUCGAAUGGUUGCAAUAGAAAAUCACAUAAAUAUUAUAGGCACUUUGGAGUUAGAAGAUGCUAAACAAAAUAAAACUUAAAAUAUUUUUACUAAAGAAUGGAUAAGAUAUAAAAGGUUGUCGCAUGAAAAAUGACAUACCAUCUUCUAUUGCCUCGUCAAUUAUAUCCUUAAAGCGGUGUGAAUCCAAUUUCGGGUCAGAACAAAUCAUAGAACAAAAAAGCCUGACAAGCAAACAGUUAGAGGUUAAAGACUUCCUCUUUUUUUAUUCCUUUUUAAGGGGUACAGCGAAAGUAUUUCACUCCAACUAUGAUUUUGCCCCUAAUCUUCGCCUACCUGUUCAUAUCGCCCUUCAAUUUUAUAUAGAGGUCUUUAAGAUCCUUCUUUUCUGAAUCUGACCCUCUGUAGUUAGCUUCGAACUCUUCAAUAUCAGCCUCUGUGACCUACAUAUAAUAGAAAAACGCUUCUGAUAGAUAUGUAUAGGAAAAGUCGUAGGCUAAAAUUCAGAAAAUGAUGAAUUUGAUUAUUGACGUACUCGCUUAUACAUUGACCUAAAAAAUUCUUGGAGAUUUUCUGCAGCUUUGCCGACCAAUGCCUGAUAAGUUUGGAAAAUUUACAUAGCAGAAUAAAUAGAGAGGGAAAUUAGAACAACUAUUUUGCAAAUAAACUUUUGUAAGUUAUUUUAAACUACUUACGUCGUCAUCAGCAAUACCAGUUUGAUCAUAUAAUGCCCUUUUUUCCUCAUCUCCAAGAAUAGAUAUCACCUUUUGCAACAGCUGAAAUUUCUCUUUAGCUUCCUGAUGCAACGCAAAAGCUCAGGUUUAGGUGAUGUUUAGAGGGUCCUCUUUGUAAAACAAAUGAGAGUAGGUGUUAUAAAUGUUACCUCAUCGCCUGGGUUCUUAUCGGGGUGCAGACGCAAAGCCAACUUGUGGUAUGCUUUCUUUAUUUCUUGUUGAGAUGCUGAUCUCUCUACGCCAAGGAUCUAUACCCCCGUAAAAAUAAAAAGCAAUAUCUUCAAUGAUACUUACACUCAACUUUAAAGCCAUAAUUACUGCAGUAUUUGCCAAGCAAAGAUGUGAAAUACCUGAUACCUCACUUUCUAAAACUACAAUUCAAGGAUAACUGGAAAAAAGAAGAGUACCAUUUGGGUCGAGCAUAAGAAUUAGAAGAUCAAAAUCUCCAAUUUUAGUUUUAAUAAUACACACCGUCUCAUUAUAUCACCUUAGUGUGUGUGUGUGUGCGCGCGCGCGCUUUUUUUUUUUUUCAAAACAACUCUGUUAAAUCUUAUGAUUGCAAUCACUUUUUAACAAAUGAAACUAUAGUUUAUUGAUACAAUCAACAACUAAUAGCUAAUUAGACAAUCAAAUUUAACAAAAUACCCUACUUAGUUAGAUGGAGCAACUCAAAUAAAAAUAUUUAAAUAUAAAAAUUAAAUUGAAGUCGAGGGGGUGUGCCUAUUUCAAAAUGUCCUACAGUUGAGGGGAUCUCGUGACAUUAUCACUAACAUUUUUUUUUGUUUCUGAAAACAUGAUUUAACCCCUAUUGCAUACUUCCACCAAACAAAAUUAGCGUUUCCCUAAAAUCGCAGAUCAAAUUUGGAUUUUUUUUUCUUAAAUGAAACAACAAUACAAAUACUUCAACCAAUUAAUUGAUGGAACAAACACCCAUCGUCCAACAAAUUGAAACCCUAACCUCAAAACAGAAAAACCAAAUAAAAAAAAACUAGUAUUUUAUUGAACAAUCAAAUAUUUUCCUCCUACUGAUCUUUCUACUAAACAACAACAACUACGACCUAAUUAGGGCUUAAAAAAAAAAAUCAAAAUUGGAUUUUUACUAAAAUCCUUAAUAUAAGGAACACCCAUUCUCCACAAAUUUGAAGCCCAAACCCCCCCUAUUCAACCAAAUAAAAUUUAAAAAAAAAAAAAGCAAAACCCUAUCAUCAUAUCGCACUCGAUAACUCCCAGCUCCCACUAAACCAGAGCUUAAAAGGAAAUUGUCGAACCCUAAUUUGAGAUCCCUAUUCAACCAAAUUUUAAAAAAAAACAAAUGAUAUCGCACUCGAUUAUUCCCAACUACCACUAAAUCGGGGCUUAAAAGGAAAUUGACGAACCCUAAUUCGACAUCCCAACGAUCACAAAAAGGCAAAAAAGGGGCCAAAAAAAAAAAAGGGAUUCAAAGCAAACCCAACCCACCUCGUCCAAGCUCUUCCCUUCAACCAAAUAAAAAAAAAAAAAAGCAAAAAAACCCUAGCAUCAUAUCGCACUCGAUUAUUCCGAACCCUAAUUCGAGAUCCAACGAUCCCAAAAUGGCAAAAAGCGGGCAAAAUAUUGGAUUCGAAGCAAACUCACCUCGUACAAGCUCUUCCCCUCGGCGUCGCCGCCGAGGGCGGCUGCGUAGGGGAUCUCUCCGGCGCCGCCUUCGUCCUCGGCAUCGGCGUCGGCGUCGGAAACCCUAACCCUAGUUUUCUUUUUUCGCCCCAUUUUCGCCAAUAAUAAAUAGAAUAUAUUAUAAUAAAUCUAUCUAUCUAUUGUAUUGUAUAUAAUGAUUCCCAGUCCACAGUGACGUGGCCGAGAGGGGAGUGGGGUGGGGCCCAACCCCAAGGGAUGGGCCAUUUUUUUUUUUUUUAAUUUUUUUUUCUUUUUUCUCAUCAAUAUAGUCACAGAGAUUGGGGCUUUUUAUAAAUCCAAUCCAAUUCUUCUUACUCUUUACGAAAAUUUAAAAUAUAUAAUUUUUUAUACGUAAAUUUCAAAUAGUUUAGAUUGUAUAUAGCAGAUAUAAAUUUUAAUAUUAUAAUAUUGAUCACUCAGAUAUAGAUUGUAUAAUAAAAAAUAAAAGAUAGAUUGGAGUUUAAGUUAAAUUUUUAUCUUUUAAAAAUUAAUUGAGAAAUUCAGCACCUCCACCCACAUACCCUCCCUCGCACGCCACGACGUAUUAAAUUUUAAGUCAAAUAUAUAUGAGCCCUUAAAUCUAAACAUAUGAGUAUUAAAUAAUAAAAUAAUUUUGAAAGAUUGGAGAGAUUAUCCUUCAAUAGUUUAUAAGUCCUUAUAUACAGUCUAUUAUCUUAUUUAUUUUAUUUUUUAAUAUCAACUUAAUGUCAUAUAAUCGUCUGAUGAGAUAUUAAUGUUAUACUUAAAAUUUUUAGAAAUACCAAAUAAUAGAUUGGUCGAGUUUAAUUUAAAAAUUAGAUAUGCUAAAAUUUUACGAUAUAUCUUAAUAAGUUUUUUCUCAAAAUUAUAAUUCAUAAACGCCCAAGUUACGAGUUUCAAAUAUAUAAAAGUGAGACUAUUCUCGAAUUUAACUUAUUAUCGUAUUACUUAAAGUUGAAGUUCCGUAUGUUUUAGUUCACUUUAUUAGAUCUAAUUUGCUUCGAAUUAAAAAGUAAUACUUGAUUUUAAUUUCAAUUUUACUGCUGCUUGAAUAUAAUUUAUUAUUUAAUAUUUUUAUUAUUGUUAUAUUUUAUUUUUAUACUAUUUUAGGCUGUUUUUUUUUUGAUUUGUAUCUUUUAUUCUUUGAUUUUUUAUUUUUACUUUGGUUUAAUAUUUUAUUAUUUUAUUUUACGCGAUUAUACCAUACAGUUCAUUAUUUUACUUUUUUAUUUUUAUGCUAAUUGUAAUUUAAUUUUCUGCUUCUUUUAUUUAAUUGAAUUAAGUUCUAUUUUGCCAGAGUAUGUGCGCGGAAGGAAGGCCAGCGGAUGGAGCUGGGCUGCCAAUUUUUUUUUAUUUAUUUUAAUGAUUUUCUUUUCACACUAAUUUAGUACUAGAUUUAAUGUUAAUCAAAAUUUUAAAUUAAUUAUAAAUUAUAUGAUAUAAACAUAAAUUUUGAUCUUAUAUAUAUGCAUAGAUAUAAACUUACAUAAAAUAAAAGAGAUUAUAUGGCGUUUAAAUAUAUUUAUUUAAUAAAUAGUUGGCAAAAAGUUACAUGAAAUUAUUAAGACUAAAACUGUAAAGCAAAUGAUACAUUCAGAUUUAUUAAUGUCAAAAUAUUAUUGACCUGAUCUGAAAUCUAGAUGUAGAAAGGUGGAUAAUAAGAACGACGAAUUUUAACGGUUAGAUACUGUUAAAUAGUUUAUAACUAAAAAACUGUAACUUUUUUAUUUAAUUUUAUUUUAAACUUCAAAUGCAUAUUAUAUCUGAUGAAUAAUCAAUUUCAAUUUAAAAAUUUUUUAAAUAAUAUCCAAAUAUUUUUGGUCGAAGCAUUUUUAAUUUACCAUACGCAAUUUAAAAUAUUAAUAUUUAAGUAUAUUUUCUCAAAUAAAAUUUAUAAAUAAACAAAAUAUAAACGUCUUUAAACUUUGUCGUCUGAAUAUAAAUUAAAAUAUAAAAAAGAUAGAUUACAUCACUUAUACCAAUAUAAGAGAGUGACUUUAACUUCUAAUUUAAUUAUAUAUUUUCUUGCUUAACUAAGUAAUGGAUUUGUUUUUAAUCUCAAAUUAAUUAGUUGUAAUUUUAUUGUACUAUAACGCUAAGUUUUAACCUCACUUUUGUGCACUAAUAUAUAAUUUAUUUCCUAUAUUUUUUCUUAUAUUUUUUUAAAGCCUCCUAUAUUUUGAUUAUAUUUUAUGCAAGCAUUGCUCUUUCUUCUCGUUUCUUUUGUUUUUUUUUAUUUUUGACUCUUACUUCUUUGUUAUGCUUUUUAGUUUAUUUUUUUAUUUACGAAUCGAUCUCGCAGUAAUGGCCGGAGGUGUACUCUAAUCCCAAAUUCCUACAGUAAAGUGGCAAGGUGAUUUGAUGGUUGAUACCAAGGUGCCAAGUUCUACAGGCAAGUAGGCAAAGGGCUUUAAGUUAGUAAUAUAUGAAAUGCCCCUGCGAAUAAUAUUUUAUAGGAGAAGACAGUUUUAGACUUAUAAUUUUUGAAAUUAAUUGUAAAUUUAUAUCGAUUAAAAAUAAAAAAAAAUACUUUGAAAUUAAUUGAGUAUAAUCUUUUUUUAAUUGGUCACACGAUAUUUACGUUAAUAUAACAAAUUGAGAGAAUACAAGACAUGGGUUUAAAAUUUAAAAAAAUUACAACACAAUUUUUUUCCUCGCGCAUAAUAAUUGAAGUUAAUAUUAUUUGCCAUAUAACACAAUAUGUUUACAGCAAACUCGCCACUUCCAAAUAAAUCUAACUUCAACGCAAAAAUCAGUUUCGGUGACAAACAACUCCUAUAAUGAAUUGAAUAUAAAUAAAUCAUAAAUAAUCACCACGAUGAAUUAAAGUUUACAAUACUCCAAUAUAGUUACAACAUGAAACAAAUAACAUAAAAGCAAGCAUACACACAACUAGCCGCAUAGUAUAAACAACUAAUGCUACAUUCCUAGCCUAAGAAAACAAUAAAUAUCGCAAACACAACGUAAAUACUACAGACAAAAAUUGGACGCGUUAAGUUAAAUAAAAUAAACAUUAAUUUCAACUUCUAAUAUUUUCAUAAUUCUCGUAAUUUAGAAUGCGAAAGAUCGCAUCACUCUUGAAUCAUGCUUUACAAUUGCAAUAGAUACGGGAUCGCAACAUGUCCACAAUAGAAUAUCCGGUCUACUUCUAAAAUAUAUAUCAUUUCUUAUUUCGGCGAAUAAAUAUAAACAUGACAUGCCAUAGCAAUCAGGCAUAGUAAUCGUUAUAAUCGAAAAGGCUGUUGCAUAUUUAAAUCUUAAACGUAUUCUUUAAUGAUACACGAAAGUUUUCAAUCUCACAUUCACCAUGUGAUGAUAUAGAGAUUCGGCAUUCGAUGCGUGGGCCGCGUGUAGAACUGUCAAAUUGACUAAAUAUAUACACUCGCAUCGCUAGACGUGCAAUAAACUUAUCAGUGUUGCGACCGCCGAAUAACAAAUAGUACUUACUGGAAAAUGAGUAAACAGUUGACAAGAAUAUAUAUCUUAUCAGUAAUAUUUUGAAGUAUAAAGCAUUACUAAGCAUUUACCUUCAAGGAAUUAAAACCCCAUUCGACAGCCAACGCAUCGAAGUCCACCAGUCUGAUGUUUGUUCAUUGUCAACCUGUGUACACAGAGAAGAAUAUGGUCACAAUAAUAUUGCACGUCAUUCAUAUUCGUAAUGUACGCCUUUCGACAAUUGAAUUCCAGGCUUUUCCGUCCUUUUAUAUAACAGGGAUAUGUGUUACGUCUACGCACCAAUUGAAUUCUACAAUAAUUAACAUUAGAAAAAUUGCACAAAAAAAUUCGUACAAAACAUGCAUCAUGUUCUUAAGAAUAACGCUUGAAUGGAUAAAAUUGAUUGUCACUCGAAUCCUGGUUGUAAUAUUGGUUAUUGGCGGCACGUUUGUUAAUAAUUCAUUUUCAGCUUCCACGCUGUAAACAUGUUGAAAUGUCAUACUUAUGUUACCCCUUGAAAUGUGAAUAUUUCUACACAAUUAUUUCCGCGCCUGAACAUACGAAAAUAGAAAAUAGGCUAUAUUAUUAAGCUGUCAGAUUUCGAGUUCAUUAUACAAUGCCUCCGCCGAGUUAGGACAUAAAAUGCGAUGAAAGCAUUGUUGAACAUUCGAAAGUGUUAAUCCCUGUCUGUCAAAUGACCAUUGAAAUAUAUAACCAUUUCGGCAGUAAUCAAAGCCGAUUCGACACUUCGCAUUGUGCAAUGUCAUUAGAAAAUUAAGUGUACCGAUAAAAAGAUACACGAAUACUUGGUCCCAAUAAUCGUCAUCCUCGUCAAGUAUUGACAUAACAUUUGCUAAUGUUGACGACAAAAAAAUUGAACGAACCAAUGAAUCACCCAUGUCAACUAAAAUGAAUACAAGAUUAUCAAUUUUAGAUAGAUUUCAAAGUAAUAUCAAAGCAUAAGUAAACAUUCUCGACGACAGUGCAAAAAAGAGUAAUAACAUGCAUGAUAUCCACAUCACAUAGGUUUAAACAUGCAUAUUUUGUCACUAGUAGUGCAAUUGUCUAGUAAAAACCACGGGCAAAUCUCCGAUAUAAACAUAUAAAUAAAGCAAGCACAUAAUACAACUGCUGAUACACAGCACAUAAAAGACAAGUCUAAAAUGCAAAAGAAGCAUAAGUAAGCAGCAACGUCUAUAAUACACAUGAGAGUAGCCAAAUACACCUCUAAAACCUGAAAAAGUGUUGCUUAUACAGGACAUUUUGCGUUUGAAGUUGACGGUCUAUCCACAUAACCGCAAGCUCAUCAAUCAUAGUCAUAAAAAAUUAUCUACUUUUGUCAUCCCGCAAUGAAUCCCCCGCAGCCAAAGCCCGUUCAUUCGCCAUGCCCACUAAAUUAUAAACUCUCGUCAUACAAACCUCAAUUGAUGGAAUAUUUGGGCGAGUUGAGACCUCAUGCUGAUACAUUUGCUGUACGAGGUCGAGCUUUUGCCUUCCUAUUUCUACCAUCUCAGCAACAGCCUCCGCUUGCAUGUCACCCUUCUUCUUUCGGCGACCGGAUGAAGAUGCUUGUUUCCGUGGCGGAACCGAAGGUUGUGGGGAUCGAGGUCGUUUACCCGCAGAGUUAUGGCCUGAUCCACUAACAGUAGCUCCAACAGUGGGUUGCAUGAGGGGAAGGCUAGGAGAACGCGAAGAUAAAUUUUCUGUCACGGUUUCAUUCAGGGGGGUGCUCGAGGAACCUGGUGCAAACGGACCGAGUAAGUGAUUGAUUGCUAGCUGGCUAACUCCUACGAUAGUGUCAUCCUCACCAGGCAAAGAUGCUGAUGAACUAUUAACAGUGGAAGGUGCAACCGUUUCUAACAACAUUCCAAAACGGCCGGUAGCAACAGUUGAUGCACAAAGGAACGCAAUAGAGUUAUAAGCUGAAAGAGAUGUAUCUCUACACUUGGCAUAAGCGGGAUUCUCCUAUAAAGAAAAAUUAGUAAAAUUAUAAUACAUAAAUAAUAAGGGGAAAGAAUAAACUGCAUUUACUGUAAUAAAGUCUUACCGCAAUGACUGCAUCCUAGUCCGUGGGGUCACCGGCCGUGGGUAUAUUGUUAUAAAUGAGAGUAGGUGUUAUAAAUGUUACCUCAUCGCCUGGGUGCUUAUCGGGGUGCGGACGCAAAGCCAACUUGUGGUAUGCUUUCUUUCUUUCUUGUUGAGAUACUGAUCUCUCUACGCCAAGGAUCUAUACCCCCGUAAAAAUAAAAUGUAAUAUCUUCAAUGAUACUUACACUUAAGUUUAAAGCCAUAAUUACUGCAGUAUUUACCGAGAAAAGAUGUAAAAUACAUGCUACCUCACUUUCUAAAACUACAAUUCAAGAAUAAUUGGAAAAAAAAAUACCAUUUGGGUUGAGUAUAAGAAUUAGAAGAUCAAAAUCUCCAAUUUUAGUUUUAAUAAUACAUAUCCUCUCACUAUAUCACCUCUAGUGUGUGUGUGUGUGUGUGUGUGUGUGCGCCUUUUUUUUUUUUCAAAGCAACUCAGUUAAACCGUAUGAUUGCAAUCACUUUUUAACAAAUGUAGCUACAGUUUAUUGAUACAAUCAACAACUAAUAGCUAAUUAGACUAUCAAAUUUGACAAAGUCCCCUACUUAGUUAGAUGGAGCAACUCAAAUAAAAAUAUUUAAAAAAUAAAAAUUAAAUUGAAGUUGAGGUGGUGUGACUAUUUCAAAAUGUCCUAUAGGUGAGGAGAUCUCAUGACAUUUUCACUAACAUUUAUUUUAUUUUAUUUUUUAGAAAACAUGAUUUAACCCCCAUUGCAUUGCACUUCCACCAAACAAAAUCAGCGUUUCCCUAAAAUCCCACAUCAAAUUUGGAUUUUUUUUUUUUGCUUAAAUGAAACAACAAAACAAACGUUUCAAACCAUUAAUUGAUGGAACGGACACCCAUCCUCCAACAAAUUGAAACCCUAACCUCAAAACACAAAACCCCCCAAAAAAAACCGUAGUAUUUUAUCAAAAAAUCAAAUAUUUUCCUCCUACCGAUCUUUCUACUAAACAACAACUGCUACGACCUAAUUAGGGCUUAAAAAGAAAUCAAAUUUGGAUUUUUACUAAAAUACUUAAUAUAACGAACACAUAUUCUCCACAAAUUUGAAGCCCAAACCUUAUUCAACCAAAUAAAACGAAAAAAAAAAAAAAGCAAAACCCUAGCAUCAUAUAACACUCAAUAAUUUCCAACUCCCACUAAACCAGAGCUUCAAAGUAAAUUGACGAACCUUAAUUCGAGAUCUCUAUUCAACCAAAUAAGAAAAAAAAUUUGAUAUAGCACUCGAUUUUUUCUAACUACCACUAAACCAGAGGUUAAAAGAAAAUCGCCGAACCCUGAUUCGAGAUCCCAACGAUCCCAAAAAGGCAAAAAGCGGGCAAAAAAUUGGGAUUCGAAGCAAACUCACCUCGUACAAGCUCUUCCCCUCAACGGCACCUGCGAUGGCGGAGGGGAUUGCUACGGCACCUUCGGCCUCGGCCUCGGCGUCGGAAACCGUAGUUUUCUUUUUUCGCCCCAUUUUCGCCAAUAAUAAAUAUAUUGUAAUUAUAAUAAAUAAUAAUAUAAAGAGAAAGAGGAGAUAUUUAUAGGGGCGGGGAAUUGGGUCAAAUUUUUUCGCUUCUCGUUUCCCGCUCUAUUAGCUAAAUUUUUAUGGGGGUAAAUUACACUUUUGGUCCUCAAACUAUAAUACGGGUGACACUUUAGUUCUCUAGCUUUAAUAAAAACUUCAAAAUACUACCCCUGCGGUUUCACGCUUUCUCACCUUAAUAUUCUGUGAUUUAAAGUGUAUCACUUUCGUACCUGUGAUUUUAUUUUUUCUCUUUUUCUUAUCCCUUCACUAAUUUUUUUCGUUAAAUCAGUGACAAAGUUAAAAACUAAUAAAGGCUUUGUUUAGUACAGAUAUAAGUAAGAACUAUUUAUUCCAGGAAUAUGUACAAGUGUAGGUAUAAAAGUAAUUUUGUAUUUGAAUGAAAAGUAGAGUAUAAGCAGGAAUAAAAAAAAUAGUAUUCGGAUGGUUUUGGGAGAUAAGAGAAUAGUGGGUUGUUGAAAGUUGUAAAUACCAAAAUUGCCCCUCUGUCGAAUUUAUAGAGAGGACCAAUUUUGACAUUUUAAUUUUUUCGUAAAUUAAAUUGUAAAUUUUAUCGAUUAAAUAAUUAAAAAAAUACAUAUGCAAAUGUAUAUCGAGUAUAUUAUUUUUUUAAUUGCACACAAUAUUUACGUAAUAUAACAGAUAAAAGUAAAUACCAAUGACAUGGGUUUAAAAUUUUUAAAAAUUACAACAACAAUUCUUUUUUCCUCCACUACAUAAUUUCAAGUAAUAUCAUUUGCCACAACAACAAUAGUUUUUAGCGAACUCCACUCCAACCCAAAAUCCUCUUCAAUACAAAGUUCAGUUUGGAAAAACAAACAUGCCAUAAAUGACAAUAAAUAUAAUAUAAAUCAUAAUAACUCAAACGCAAUGAAUCAAAGUUUUCAACUACUCCAAUAUAUACAUACAUAACCAUAAAAGCAAGCACAACCACAACUAACCCAUAGUAGCAAGCAACAUGCUAAAUUCCUAGACCAAGAAAACUAAAACAUCAUGCAACAUUGCAGUGCGUUAGUUCAACAGCCGAACAUUGCGGUGCAUUUAAGUUCAAAUAAAUGAAAGCAUCAAAUUUCAAUUUCUACUAUUCUAUAAUUGCUCAGUAAUAGAACUACGCAAAGACUCGCCACGUCUCAAAUCAUCGCCUUCGGUUGCAACAGUCGGCGGAUCGUCAACGUUCCCGUCAGAAGUAUCUCGGUCCAUCUCUUCUAAAAAAUAUAUGUCAUUUCCUUGUUGUCGGCGAAUAAAAUUAUGUACCACACAACAUGCCAUAGCAAUGAAGCACUAUACGUUAUAAGAAAACGGCGUUGCAUGAUUUAAAAUCUUAAACCGCUUCUUUAAUAUACCGAAAGUUUUCUCUACGAUAUUUCGCAACUGCGUAUGUUGAUGAUUAUAGAGAUCUCACGGAUUUCGAUGCGUGCGUGCCUGUGUAGAACUGUCAAAUUGACUGAGAUGAUACCGCUCGUCUCGGUAAGGUGCAAAAAACCUAUCAGUGUUUGCAUACCCUGAAUCAACCAAAUAGUAUUUACCUAGAAAAAUGAGUACAUAGUUGAGUCAAGAAUAUAUCUUCAUCAGUAAUAUUCUGAGUAUUAAGCAAUUACUAAGCAUUUACCUUCAGGAAUUGUAAAACCCCCACUAUCACAAGCCCAUCGAAGUACAAGCAUAUCUGAUGUUGAUCCUUCCCAACCUGUGCACACAAAGAAAAAUAUAUGGUUGAAAGAUACUGCAGCCAUCAUAUUCUGUGAUGUAAAGCCUUUUCGACAUCGAAAUCGCGCUUGUUCACUCCUUUCGACAAUUACAGGGAUAUGUGUUUCGUCUAAAGCACCAAUUGCAUUCUACAAGACAUGAAGCAUUAGGAAAAAAUUGCACAGAAAAAUUGCGUACAAAAAUAAUACAUUAUGUUCUUAUGAAAAGUAAUCUUGAAUGGAUGAAAAUUUGGAUUGUCCCGAAUCCUUGAAUAUACUACUGCAUUAUUUGGCGGCAUUGUUAGAUAUCAUCUUUCAACAUUACAAUCGCUCGUAAAACAUUGUUGAAAUGUCUACUAAUUGUCUCCCCUGAAUGUUGGAAUGUUUCUGCGAGCACUUUAUUUGCCACGCCAUGACCUACUCAAAAUAGGAAAAUAGCUAGCUGCUUAUUAACUAUCAGAUUUCGAGUUCCUCUUAUCAACCCCUGGCCGAGUAGCACAUCACGAAGUGCGAUGAAAGUUGUCGUUGACAUGCGAAAGUGUUGAUACCCUCUGUUAGGAUGACCAUUGAGAAUAUCACUAAUCAUUUCACGGUCAGAAAAAGGCCGCUUUCGACACUGCCGUUUGUGUGAUGUAUUAGAAAAUGUAAGGUAGUCCUGAUCAAAAAGCAUCACGAAUACUUGGUCCCAAUAAUCGUCAUCCUCGUCAAGUACUGACAUAACAUUUGCUAAUGUUGACGACGAAAAAAUUGAACGAAACAAUGCAUCACGUACCCAUGUCAACUGAAAUGAAUACAAGAUUAUCAAUUUUAGAUAGAUUUCAAAGUAAUAUCAAAGCAUAAGUAAACAUUCUCGAUGACAGUGCAAAAAAGAGUAAUAACAUGCAUGAUAUCCACAUAGGUUUAAACAUGCAGAUUUUGUCACUAGUAAUGCAAUUGUCUAGUAAAAACCACAAGCAAAUCUCCAAUAUAAACAUAUAAAUAAAGCAAGCACAUAACACAACUGUAGAUACGCAGCACAUAAAAACAAGUCUAAAAUGCAAAAAAAGCAUAAGUAAGCAGCGACGUCCAUAAUACACAUGAGAGCAGCCAAAUACACCUCUAAAACCUGAGAAAGUGUUGCUUAUACAGGACGUUUUGCAUUUGAAGUUGGCGGUCUAUCCACAUAACCGCAAGCCGGUCAAUGUCAUAAAAAGUUGUCUAUUUUUGUCAUCCAGCAAGGAAUCCCCUGCAGCCAAAGCCCGUUUAUCCGCCGUGCCCACUAGAUUAUAACCUCUCGUCAUACAAACCUCAAUUGAUGGAAUAUUUGGGCGAGUUGAGACCACGUGUUGAUACAUUUGCCGUACGAGAUCGAGCUUUUGCCUUCCUAUUUCCACCAUCUUAGCAAUAGCCUCCGCUUGCAGGUCACCCUUAUUCUUUCGGCGGCCGGAUGAAGAUGCUUGUUUCCGUGGUGAAACCGAAGCUGUGGGGAUCGAGGUCAUUUACUUGUAGAGCUAUGGCCUGAUCCACUAACAGUAGCUCCAACAGUGGGUUGCACGAGGGGAGCGCUAGGAGAACGCGAAGAUAAAUUAUCCGCUGCGGUUUCAUUCAGGGGGGUGCUGGAGGAACCUGGUGCAAACAGACCGGGUAACUGAUUGAUUGCUAGCUGAUUAACUCAUACGAUAGUGUCAUCUCACCAAGCGAAGAUGCUGAUGAACUAUUAAUAGUGGAAGGUACAACCGUUUCUAACGACAUUCCAAAGCAGCCGGUAGCAACAGUUGAUGCACAAAGGAACGCAAUAGAGUUAUAAGUUGGAAAAGGUUUAUCUCUACACUUGGCAUAAGCGGGAUUCUCCUAUAAAAAAAAAUUAGUAAAAUUAUAAUACAUAAAUAAUAAGAGGAAAGAAUAAACUGCAUUUACUGUAAUAAAGUCUUACCACAAUGACUGCACCCCAGUCCAUGGGGUCACCGGCCGUGGGUAUAUUGUUAUAAAUGAGAAUAGGUGUUAUAAAUGUUACCUCAUCGCCUGGGUUCUUAAAAGAACCCUAAUUUUAUCAUCUCUUUAAAUAGAGUGGUGAGAUUAUCUUUACAAUAUAUAAAAUAAUUAUAUAAUUUUAGUAAUCAUUUAAAUUUACUAUCUAUAAAUAAAUAAGUGGAUAUAUAUAAUAUUUUUAUAUUUUUCAAUAAUUCUUCAACUUAUCAAUCGACAUAUUUAAAAUUUUUAAUUUAUUUAAUUUUAAUAUGUAAAUCAAACUUUAAAAAUUUAAACGAUUCUCUCAUUUUUUUUUUAUCAAAUUUAAUAAUUAUAAUUAACUAAAAUUUAUUAAGUUGGCAUACACAAUCAUAUUCUAUAAAAAUUUAGAAAAAAAAAAUUUAUUUUUUAUGUUUUGAAUAAAAUAAAUUAAAAAUAUUUUAAUUUUUUGCACAAAACUUGUAUCGCCUAAAAAAUUUUAUUAGUAUGAGUUUAUUUACAAGUAUUUUUAUUUAUCCAUAUAUAUAUAAUUUAUUUAUUAUUGUUAAUUUGUAGGUGAUCCUAUUCCUCAGCAACUGCUGCAGUUGGAGCUGUCGGAUGUAGUUCCAACUGCAGCAUUUUGAGCUUCUUGUGCAGUUGCAACUGCAGCAGUUGGACUCAACUGCAUUAAACCAAACACAUGAAUUGAGGUUGCAUGCAUUUGUAACUACAGUGCAGUUGCAAAUACGUGCAACCAAACAGCCCCUUAAUGUAAUGCAAAGUGAAAAUUAGAAAUAAUUAUUAGUAUAUAUAAUAAUAAGAGUCAAUUUCAUACAAGUCCGUACGAACAUAAUAAAUUACAAAUAUAUUCUAUUAAAGUUCAACUUUAAUAUGCUGUCGCUGCAAAAGUUUUAAUAUUUUCAAAUAUGUCUCUUUAGUUUGUUGCCGUUAAAGCACUGUCUAUUUUAUAAACAAAAUGAUAUUUUUACCAUCACAACUAUAUCCCUCCAAAAAUCUCAAUUAUUAAAUAAAGAGGGAUAAAAAUGUCAAUUCGCCUAAUUAACUAAUCGGAAUUAAGCAUUUAAUCUAUAGUUAACUAAAUUUUUCUAAUGGAUUUUAACGGUAAGAAUAUAUUUGAAAAUAUCAUGAUUUUAAUUUGCAGAGACAACAUACAAAAGUUAAACUUUGUAGUGACAUAUUUGAAAUUCAAUAUAUUUAUAAGGGAAAACUUCAAAAACCCCUCAUGUGGGUUCGUAGUUUCUCACUUUGCCCCCCUGUGGUUUAGUGUAUCAAUUUGCCCCCCUGUGGUUUCAUUUUUAUCUUUUUCUUAUUAAUUUCAUUUUUUUUUUCUUAAAUUAGUGAUAAAGUUAAAAUUAAAGGGUACUAAAGUGAAUAUUUGAUAAAUCUAGAUGGGUAUCUGAAGCUUUUUGUACAUAAUUUAAUAAAAAAUUAACGAAAAAACUAUCGAAAAGAUAAAAACGAAACCACAUAUGGGCAAAUUAAUACAUUUUAAAUCACAUAGAGGUAAAGUGAAAAACUAGGAAACCGCAUAAAGUGUUUUUGAAGUUUUCCCUAUUUGUAAAGACUGGUAUGGAAUUAAUAAUAAUAAUAAUAAUAAUAAUAAUAACAACAACGUUAUGUGAAAAUCCACGUCAUCAUAGCAGUUUAAAUAAUAAAUAAAUAAUAAAAAUCCGCAUGAUUAUCUGUCACGCCGACUUUUAGGUAAUUAAAGCUUCCUUUUUAUCGCAGCACCGCCUCAUCGCCUGAGUACCUGAACGCCCGCAUAAAACGUCUUCCGCGAACCCCUACAUCCACCGUCCGUUUGCCGGCAUCCGACAAAUCGCACGGCGGAAACCCUCUUCCCGCACCAAAUUUUUAUAUGCGGUUCCUCGUAUGCGAGAAUUAUGAUGCGCUCUAUAAAUAGCGGCAUGUGUCGNCGCAAUUUAGUAGCUUUUUUUUUUAUUAAUUUUUCUCCUCAUUUCCCCGACCCCUCCUCUUUCGUGCCCACCGAUUCCACGAUACCGAGGCGAUUUUGGGGCCGCUAGGGUUAGGGUUUCUCCUUCCCCCAAUUCAUCUUCGAUUCCUAAUUUUAUUGCUCGAUUUCUAAUCAAUCUCGUGUUUUCUUUUUCUUUGUUGCGAGGGUUUGGAAUCGGCGGUGAGAUCGGAAUUAAACUUUUGAUUUUGAUUUUGAUUUGGGGUUUUUUGCGCUAUUUAUUGCAGGGAUCGUCGGGGGCCAAAGCCGCAGAGAAACCGAGCGUGAUCGAAGGCGACCUUUGAAGCAGGUAUGCUAGGUUUGAUGAUUCAAUCUGGGGUUAUUAUUCAGGGUUUUGAUCAUUGCGUCUUAGGGUUUCGUUGUUCUUUAUGUGCCUGUCGUAGAAAUUCUUGGAGUUUGGCUGUUAAUUGUGUGCCUUGAUGUAUUUUGUAUGAUCUGAUUCGUCUGCGGCUACUGAAUCUCGUUGUUGUUGGUGUUCUCUGAUGAAAGGUGGAGCAUUUACGUGAUAUGCUAUGUUAAACAAAAGGUUUUGCAUAUUUAGAUGCCGUGAUUUACGUUGGUAGAUUCCUCUGGUUGUAAAUUUAUUGGUACAAUUGCCGUAGAUGUUUUAAUGUUAUUAGGCUUCGGAUUUGAUUUUUGUAUCAUGUUGUCAAUCUUUUAUGUGAGGAAGCUUCUUGCUUUGCCUGAGUGGGGGAUUUGGCAUGUUGUGACGUAGUUUAAUCAGAGGAAUGGAGCACGAGGAGACUGGAUGCCAGGCCCCCGAAGGCCCGAUCCUCUGCAUCAACAACUGCGGCUUCUUCGGCAGCGCCGCCACCAUGAACAUGUGCUCCAAGUGCCACAAGGAGGUGAUGCUGAAAGAACAGCAGGCCAAGCUCGCGGCCUCGUCCAUCGACAGCAUAGUGAAUGGCGGUGGCAGCAGCAGCAGCGGCAGCAGUGAGAAGGAUCCAGUUGCUGUGGCCCCUAAGAAUGCUGAUGUAGCUGUUGCUUCUGUAGAACCAAAGACCGUUGUGGCACAAACAGCAGAUCCUGUGGGCUCGAGCAGUGACGAUGCAAUGAAGUCCAAGGCGAAGGAGGGCCCAAGUAGGUGUGCAACUUGUAGGAAGCGAGUCGGCCUCACAGGUUUCAAUUGCCGGUGCGGGAGUGUGUUCUGUGGCUCACAUCGUUAUGCGGACAUGCACAAGUGCCCCUUUGACUAUCAGACGGCGGGCAGGGAUGAGAUCGCCAAAGCGAAUCCAGUUGUGAAGGCAGAAAAGCUUGACAAGAUCUAGAGAGUUUGGAGUGGAAGAGAUUGUGUUCCCUGCUAUGAGUGCUUACUUGCUGCUCUAGUUUAUCCAUGCCCUUUUGUUUCUAAUUGUCAGGUGUCCUUUAUUAUUCUAAAUGGCUGGAUAUGUGAUGCUUGGAGCAUCCAUGCAGCUGCCUCAGAACUCGCUUGUUGACUUUGAAAGGUUUGCAUGUCUGCUUUGGUUGUUUGAGCUUUUAUUCAUGCUCGUUCCUGUGGAAUGUAUCAUGGCUUAUUAUAUGGCUAGCUUUACAAUAUAUUUUAUUUGUCGUCUUGUCGAGUCGUUCAUGAAAUAGCUUGAGCACUUCUUCUACAUCCCUCAUGUCUUGUGUUUGCUUUUUUUUUUUAUUAUGCCCUUGCUGCUGUUUCUUUUUUCCUGAUGAGACUACUAGUAGUGCACAAUUUGGAGUGAUAAACUGCAAAUUGGACAUUUGGUAGUUACUAUUUUGUAGAAAUUGCGUCUCCUAUCUGCAUUUUGCUUCUGGCAUUUUUGUUAACUUUGUUCAGGUUAUGGUGUUAUUUGAGAUAGGGUUAGGGCAAAUAACUUUGUAGAUAAGAAUUAUGUCUUCCCUUUUCCUUUUUAGGGUCUCUUUUGACUUCUUGAGUAUGAAUAUUUCUAAUUUUUGUGUUAAGAAUAAGUAAUGGAGGGAUCAAAUGGUGGAGUCUGAAAGGGGUUAAAUCAACUUAGGGAGAAUAUCUCAAAAAAGGUCAAUUGAGAAUUAAGGUUGUUUAGAAGACCCAAUAAUUCUUGACAUAGCGCAAACAUAUUGGCCAGGUGACGUAGGAUUAAGUUGUGGAAGUGGCUAGGGGUAACCAAACUUACUUUAGGAAGAGUUUGUCGGAAGAGAUCGACUGACGAUCAAGGUUGUCGAGAAAUCUAAGUUAACUCGUUGACCUAGCUUAAACAUAGUGGCCAGAGUGUAUUAAUCUGUUGCUUGGUUUUGGUAAAUUCUAUUAAAUGAUCAUUAUGAUUGAUUUGUUUAGAUUCAGUUAUGAGUAGACAAAAAAAAGAAAAAAAAUCUUGACCAAACUUAGUUCAGCUUUUUUGAGUUGACAAAAAGAAAAAUCCUGGUCUAACCCGAUUAUUGUAGUGAGGGUGAAAACACUUCGGGGGGGCUCUUAUCCCUUCCAUCUCACUUUUUGGCACUUCUAGGCCACUCAACGCGCUGACCUGUCUCUGCCUCACUAUACUCUUAAACUGUUGAGUGCAAUUUGCGCAGCCUUGUUGAACCUCAUCCUACUCCCUACUCUCUCGAGCUGUUUUCCUACCUUAGCCUUUGAGCUCCACCAUGCCGUGACUUUAGCUUUAAUCAGCCCAAGUCUUAAAUGCAUAAGGCCUAUCAGUGUGCGUUUUCGUGCAUGUUUGUGCGUGCUAUGUGCGAUUGUGCGUGUGCAUGCAUGCAUUCAUGGAAAUUGACAAUCCGUUGUCGAGGACGCUUGGUUUGACUUAGUUGUUGCCGUAAUUAUUUUAGUGUUUAAUAUAAUUUGUUGUUAACUAAAUGGUGUUGUUUUUGCUCAACCAAAAAAAAAAAAGAAAGAGAAAAAACAUUUGAACUUGAUGAAUUGAAUCAUGAACUUACCAUGGAUUUAGAAUAUGCACCCAGAUUAUCACUGAAAUAUCAAAGGGACUCUAAGAUCUGGGAUUGUUGUAAGGAAGAUGAUGGUGAAUCAGGAAGUUUAAUCAAUUGUAACGACAAAGUGGAAUGUUAUAAGACUUCUCAAUAAUAUUAUAGAAUAACAAUUAGGAGGUAUGGGGCUUAAGAAAGAUUGGUGAGAUGGAGCAUUUUUAGUAUCAUUGCUUGAUUACGAAAAUGAUUGCGAGAGUGACGAUUGUGCUGAACGGGUUAAUGCUAGAUGGAUUAAGUUGGAUUGCAAGAAUGUUUGUAGAUCGAUGUUUCUUAUUUAUUCCGCCCAAUUAUAGAUGGUUAUUCAUGUCACUGUUGUUGGUGUUGUUGUUUAGAAGCAGCAUGCUCAUAUGAGUAUUAAGAAGGAUGAAUGGCUGCACCGUGGAAAGAUAGGAUUAAGAAUGAAGGCAUCUGCUCUUAAUGGAACCAGCUUUUGUGCAGGGCAGAAGGAACGUUGGAUAGCAUAUAAUAUCGAGAUCGUCUACAAGAGUGAGCUGAGCCAAGUAUGUGGCGAGAAAGUGUAAGUGGGGUCAAAAUGAGAGGGUUUUGGGUAAUUAGUAAAGAUUUUGCGGCAAACGUGAGCCACGUCACUUAGAAAAGAUUGAAGAGGCAAAAGAAUCCACGUCUUUCAUUCGAGUUAUGUUUUGUUGCUUGAUAAUUAACCACAAUUUACACAGAACUUGAAUUAUAUAUGUUUUGGAGAAGUCGUGAAAUUUGUAUUUGAAGGUGUUUUUUUUUUUUCCUUUCUUUUUUCCUUUGAGCUGUUUUUCGAAGUUCCAGCCAAAACAUAUGCCUCAGUGAAAAAGUUGUGAUGAUGUCGGAUUUAAUGAAAAUAUAACAAGUAGAACAUGUGCAGGUGCCUCUCCGCGAGGAUGUGAUGGUGUUUCAAGUAUAUUGUCAGGUUAUGUUGUAUAUUCGAUUCAAUGCUUUAUUAAACUGCAUGCUUUUUUUUACCUUUUUUUUUCGUGCUUUUCCGGUUGCAUUUGACAUGUUUCAUGGUUUUCUUCAUCUGUAAUUGAUAUUUUUGGUGUGAAAAUGAUGCGAAUCAAGUUUCAAUAUCGAGCUAUGCCUGGCAUUUCUAAUGUCUGUAGCUGAUGGUAUGCUAAGGCUGUGAUGUGAUGAGUUGUCGUCUUUCGAUCUUGGAAUCUUUGUUGCAAAUUUUCUUAAGAUGAUUCAUUGGUUGAGCUGCGUAUUUAUCUUCUCUGAUGUUCUUUGAAGCAGUUUCUGGUUGUUCUAUUCGAGUUAUUCGGAGGUUUUGCUGUGCAAGUUGUUUACUUUCCGAGUGGUGUCAUUGUACGACUCCAUUUUUAGCAGUGGAUUUCCUUUCUCCUUUUUAUUCUUUUUUUUAUUGUUAUUUUUAUAUUUUAAAUUUGGUGUGGUUUCGGGUUCUGGCAUUGGUUUUUGAUGCAGCUGAGCUGCAAUCUUAAUACCUUCGCUUCCUUGGGCAGAAACUGAAAGCUUGUUUGGUUCACAUAUUUUAGACUGUGGAAUCGUAAUGAGAUUUAUUGAUUUGGAUAGGUCUUUGUUUUAUAGGAAUAAGAUUUCAAUUUUUAUUUCACUCUGGAGUGAGAAUGAUCCAAUCUGUUUAUGAUCUAAUCCGACUUUAAAUCCACUGAUCAGCGGUUUCCAAAGUAAAUCAUUUAAAAUCUUCUCUUACAAACACCUCUUCUCCUUUCUCACUCUCGUUUCUCUCCUGUUUCUUACUUAAAACAGGCACUCAAAAUUUUAGAAAUUCAUCUUGAUUUUGUUUUAAUAAUAAAUAAAAUAUUUUUAGAUAAUUCAUCAUUUUAUUUUUCAUUCAAAUGCAAGCUCAAUCUCAUUUAUCAUUCCUAUGUCAAUCAUGAACCAAACAUGCUUUGAGAGUUGCUUUAGAAUAAAUGAUGUUUAAACUCUUCAGAAUAAUUGUCGAUCGUCUCAUUUCGCUUGGUUAGUUUCGUUGUGAGCAUCUAUGUUUUGCCGAAAGUGGGGAGGGUGAAGUUAUUUUCAGCUAUAAAUGUCUUACUAUUGUUGUCUGAUUCGCUGUAAAUUAAAUUCGCGUGUAACUUCAUAUUUUCCAAUAGUCCAUAAUAGACUUCAGUCUGGAUGGUGUUGGAGUCAAUUAUAGAAGAUAGAAUCUGAUUAUCUAGAGCAGACAGUCCACCUAGACAUUGGAAGUGUGUGACUGCUACUUUUGUGGACUUUCAUCUUGGCAAAGGGUCAAGAAAGGUGGCUUAAUGACCUGGUCCCUCUUUCUGUCAUUUAUUUAUAUUUAAUGAUGAUCAACCAAUGUAUUUGGGAGGGGAUUUUUUUUCAUAGUUAAAGAAUCUUUAUUUCUUUGUUCUAUUCCUUGCAUAUAUAAUUAUUUCAUCCCUUUACUUGGCUCAUCUUCCUCCUAGAUCUUCUUCUUUCUCGUCGACAGUUACUAGCACUCUCCAACACAUAUAUUUUACUUGUCGACAAUAUGGCGGAGUUAGGCGUUGUAGUAGGAUGGGUCGCAUCUCCGAUCAUCAAAGCAAUGGUUGACAUGGCGAGAUCCUACAUAGAGAGCCGACUGCCUUGGCGAUCGGCGGUGGAGGAGGAGCUUCACGUGCUGGCGGCCGUCCUUGCUCAAAUCCUCGCCGUCGUCUCCACGGCCGAGUCGCUGCCCGCCACCGAUAAUGAAAGCCACCUUGCGCUGCUCCGCCAGAUGAAGGACGCCGUCUACGAGGCCGAGGACUUGCUCGACGAGUUCGGCUACCUUCUCCUUCAAUCCGAAGUGAAUUCUGGACGCAAGGUGAGCCUCCCUUCUGCCUGCUUCUCGUCUGUCGGCGUAAGUUUCAGAAAUAAGCUGAAGAAAGUGCUGAGUAAACUAGAUAAAGUUAAGGACUGCGCCCAGACGUUCCUCGAUAUUGUUGGUGCGACAGUUACGACAGUUGCAGGCAGUAGUAGCAGCAGCAGCGGUGUUGCAAGUGCGGUGCAGCAGCAUCCUACUAGCUCGUUCCUUCUUGAAAACCAAAUUUUCGGCCGAAAAGAGGAGUCCAGGAGGAUACUGCAAUGGCUUCUUGAAUCUGGUGAUCAGUCUGAAAUUCUUCUCUCGGUGGUCGGAGACGGAGGGGUCGGUAAGACUACGCUUGCGCAGUCGAUCUACAAUGAAACAAAGGUGGCGGACCGUUUCGAGCUGCGCAUGUGGGUUUGUGUCUCGGAGAAUUUCGAUGAGCUCAGACUUACCAGGGAGAUCCUCUCGUUGGCGUGCGACGAUCUUGGCAAUGACUCGGCGAGCUUUAAUCUCAACAAGCUUCAAGAACAACUCAAGAAGAGUCUAGCAUCGAAGAGGUUCCUUCUAGUCUUAGACGAUGUUUGGAAUGACGAAGGGAUCAUGGAGUGGGAGGAUAGAGACCGAUGGAUGAAACUGCUUGCGCCGCUAAGAUUCGGGGGUACAGGGAGCAAGAUCAUUGUGACCACGCGUUUGGAAAUAGUGUCGAGAAUGCUCGGCGCAGGAGAUUCUAUCCAUCUGAAGGGGCUAGAAGGAGAUGAUUACUGGUUGCUCUUUAAGCGGCACGCCUUUCGCUCCGCGUGCGCCGACGACUAUCCAGAGCUCCAAGUAGUAGGCCGGCAAAUAGCGAAGAGGCUAAAGGGAUCUCCUCUCGGGGCGAAGGUGGUGGGGGGGAUGCUGAAUGCGGAAAUGAAUGUUGAGAAGUGGAAGAAUGUUUUGAGAAGCAAUGUUUGGAAUGGCAUCAUGCCUGUUCUCAAAUUAAGCUACCGGAAUCUGCCACCCCACCUGCAGCAAUGCUUUGCGUACUGCGGUAUCUUUCCCAAAGAUUGGAGGAUCGAACCUGACAAGCUAGUUUACAUGUGGAUGGCGCAAGGCUUGCUUCGGCCUCAAGAAGGGAGAAGUAUGAGGAUGGAAGACAUUGGGAGGAUCUACUUUGACGAUUUAUCCUCGAGAUCUUUUUUCCAGACGCUCGAGCAUCACAAUAGAGAGUAUUAUGUCAUGCAUGACAUGAUACAUGAAUUGGCUCAAUCUGUUUCGAAGGAGGAGUGUUUUAGAAUCGAAAGUGAUAAUGUGCGAAGAAUCCCGUCAACCGUACGCCACUUGUCGAUCGACACCAACGCUCUGCUGCAGCUUACGAGCAUAUGCGACUUGAAGAACUUGCGCACGCUUGUAAUCUUUUCCUACAAUCAUUCUAUCGGUAGUGAUGUUUUCAAACAGCUGAGAAGCAUAAGAGUGCUGGAUCUAACCGGAUGUGAGAUGGAACAGUUACCUAAAGCUGCGGGCGAGUUGAUUCAUCUACGAUAUUUAUCAUUUGCUGAGACUCUUAAGACAGUGCCUUCGUCAUUCUAUCAGCUUUACAAUCUACAAGUGUUGGAUGUUUCGCGAUCGUGCCUGCCCACUUGGUCUCCUGAAGGUAUGGACAAGCUAAUCAACUUGAGGGUUUUAAAUGUUCACGACGCAUUCGCGUCGCAGAUAGCUAGAAUUGGGAAACUGACCAGUUUGCAAGGUCUAGCUGAAUUUCGUACCUCAAAGAAGAACGGCCGUAAGAUGGUCGAGCUCCAGAACAUGAAUGAACUUCAGGGAUCACUUAGGAUCAAGAAUCUUGAGAAUGUGGAUAGCAUGCAAGAGGCCGCUGAAGCCAAAUUGAACCGAAAGGAGUACAUCAAGAAAUUGAGGUUGGAAUGGCGCUACUCUGAGGAGACGAGAAGUAAAGAUGAUCAAAUUCUCGAGGGCCUCCAGCCGCAUCCAAAUCUCGAAGGUCUAAAAAUCAUAAGUUGCUCAGGUAUCAGGUCUCCGACAUGGCUAGAGACAAAUUGGUUGUCGCAUCUGCAAUCCUUGACUCUGAGUUGCUGCGGAUCUUGGAUAUCUCUCCCCCCUCUCGGACGGCUGCAGAGUCUCAAAUUUUUGGAAAUUAGGUGGAUGUGUGCGGUGAAAAAAAUCAGCUUCGAGUUCUAUGCGAACGGCAGCCUUAAUGGAUUCCCAUUACUGGAACGCUUAAGAUUUGAAGGCAUGCCGGAGUUGGUCGAGUGGUCCCGAGCUAAAGAAUAUCGAGCGUUUCCUUCUCUAUGUGGUGUUCAAAUUGAGAAAUGUCCGAAGCUAACAGACGAGGCGUUCUCGUCGUGCCUGCAAACCUUGAUUCGCCUCUCCAGUCUAGAGAUAAGUUGUUGCCAUCGACUUAUAUCCCUGCCUUCGGCAUCAGUUUUGCGUCAUCUAACUACACUAAAAGAACUGUACAUUAAGUGCUGCGAAAAUUUGGCGUCGCUAGGAGGGCUACAUGCGCUUACUUCCCUGAAAGAGCUCGAAUUGACGGAUUGUCCAAAGCUGCUGGCAUCUAUGAUCAUCGGAGAGGACAAUUACGACAGAGGUUUUCUGCCGGCAUCGCUAGCGUCUCUCAGAAUUGUGCGUUGCGGCCUCACCGACGCAUCAUUGUCGAAUUGUCUCCAGAACCUCACCUCUCUUUCCACAUUAAAGAUAGAGUGCAGCCAAAUCACGACUCUUCCGUCAAAACAAGUGAUGCGCCACCUGACAGCGCUGAAGCAGUUAAGAAUGCAGUCCUGCCAGGCCCUGACGUCGCUUGGCGGGUUAUCAAAUCUCUCCUCCUUGAAAGAGCUGGCAGUUGCUCACUGUCCUCGGCUUCUCGAGUCCACUAACAAUGACGAAGAAAACGGUCAGGUUAUUCUACCCUCUGUGCUCGAGUCAUUAGAACUCAAUUCCUGCGGCAUUAACGACAAUUCACUGUCUGCAUGUUUACAAAACCUCAGCUCUCUUUCAGCCUUGCGCAUAUAUCGUUGUAACGGCAUUGUAUCACUCCCCCCUGCGACAGUCUUUCGCCGCCUAACCAUGCUUGCAAAACUGGACAUAUUUGAUUGUCAGGAAUUGACAUCCGCUGUAGGAUUGUCUGCCCUAACACGCCGAAGAUUUGUGAGGAUCAUAAGUUGCCCCAAGCUUGCUGAUCUAUCAAGCAUUUCAUCCCAACUUUGGGCAUAUCUUGACUGACGACGGCUUCGUAUCGCCCUUUUGAGGAUUCAAAAAGCAGAUCCAAGAAGGAAGGAUCUCGAGUCGGAUAUGGUUGGUUCCGAACAUCUCUUAAACCGUCUGCCCUCUGCAAGUUUAUUUCUUUCAAUUGUGCAGCUCACUGUCUUCUCUUUUCAGGUUUCUGAGUGGCUUUUGCGCGAUUUCAUAUAAUUGUGUCUAAGAAACCAAACAUGCACUUGUGAUGGCAUUUCAAUUUUGAAACCAUCUACUAUCUCAUGUUAAUAAUAGUCAUUGUGUACUUUUAGCACACUCAUAGUGAUUAGACUAAAUUUUUUUUCUGUAUUAUUAUUAUUCAUUAUGUUAGAUAUCCAAACAACCUAUUAAAUAAGCAAUUUAUACAGCAGGAAGUGAUAAAGUAUGAGUGUGCCAAAACUGAAUAGAUUUAUCAUUCUAUAUUAAUUUAGUUCUUCUCUUUUGUUCCUAGAAGUUUCGAGUAUAUUCACCACAUUCACGCGUUAAAGGAGUGAUUUAUUAAAUUGUACGAAAUAACUAUUUUCUCUAAAAGUGUAAGUUCGUAGAGAAUGGUGUUCUUAUAUUUUUAUAUUUAGAACUACUCUCCGAGUCUGGCUUGAAAUUUUUUGACUGGCAUAUGAUGUAGACUUGAAUUAAAUAGAAGGAAGUCGAUUAUGCUGGGAGUCUGCUUGACUCGAAACUUAGUAUCUCAUACUCUGAUAUCGUAUUAAAUUAUGCGAAACAAUCGUAUUUUUUUCAAAAAUUUAGAUUAGUUUGGUAUUGAAGCCCAUCUGGCGCUAUUAGAUAAAAUGGAGUUCGGGUAAAAAUAUAUAGGAAUAUACUUCUGCGUUUUCCGGUGGGAUCGCAGAAAAUAUAUCAUAGUCCGCUCAUCGCAAUAUGCCAAACACAAUAUUACUUACGGAAAUAAACAGAAUAUUUUUUUCAUCGUACUUUCUCACCGCACGUAACACAAUCUUCCCGCAAUUUCAAAUGAAGCCUUAAGCUAAUAGAUAAUGGUGUUUUUAUAUUUUUAUGUGUAAAGCUACUAUACUAUCAGAAGUAUAGAGGACUUGGCGCUUCUAACAUUUUAGCCUUUCGAUCAAGAAUUGUACGAUUGGAAUGAUUGCGGUCCCCUCUAAGGUUGAGUGGUCCCCAUAAGGUAAUAAUAUUAAUCCAAAGAUUAGAAAUGAUUAUAGAAGUUGAUCUAAGUAUUAAAAAAUCGAAAGCACCAGAUUCUCUAUACUUUCGAUAGUAUAGUAGCUCUACUCUAUUUUUAUAUUUAACAUGAUUAGGAAGGGUAUGAUGCAGGCUACGUGGCUGGCAUGGCCCACAUUACCCCGAGCUGAAACGGGCCUAGGGGUGGAUCGGCACGGAUUUCAAGGAUUUGUGGCCCGGCACGGACUCCGGCCCGGACGAUAUAGGUUGUGUCGGGCCGGGCCGGGCCGGGCUCCGGGCCGGCCCUUUUAUUUUUUUAAAAAAAAAUUAUAAAAGUUUAAAAUAGUAAAAAGGUCAAAAUACUACUUUUUAAACAUUUAUAAGAAUGUUUGUCAAAUAAUAAAAGAUUUAAUUUAAAAUUUUAAAAAAAAUUUUAGAAUAGUUGGCCCAUUUUACACCCCUAUUGGCACUUAAACCAUAGCCGAGAAAAGCCAAUGCACUCUAUUUCUUGUCGGGUCUAGGUGGAAUCAGAGCGGGUUAAUUUUAAUCAUAUUUUUGACAUCCGCUUACUAUACUACUCUAUUCGGAGCGGAUUGGGACAGGUGCGGGAAGUGGAUUGCGACAGAAGCAUGGUUUUGAUUAUUUUUUGGCGGAUCGGAUCGGAUUAAAGAAAGAAGAGAGUCUCAUGCCCUCCGCUCCAUUUUACUUGGCAGAUUAGGACGAACCUCCCCAUUCAGGGUGAAUCAGUGCGGGAGCUCCACCAAUCCAGAUCCAUUUGCAUUCCUACGUAUGACCAAAUGGAAUUAAUAUGUCCCAGUCACAAUUUAGGGGAUUUGAUGUGAGAUUAGGUCCUAAUUUGGGUUUUAAAAUUUGUAUUUUAAAAUAAACACAAUGAAUGGACUGAUCAUUCAGAUGAAAGAAGAAAUAAGGGCAAAUUACAAUUUAGGUCCUUACACUAUGAGGUGCAUGACACUUUUAAAUCCUCAAACUUUAAUUUUUAGCAACUUUUGGGCUCGAACUUUUCAAAUUUUAUAAUCAAUUCCUACAAACCAAUUUAGGUGACUAAAUAUUAACAUAUUGAUGAUGUUCGAUUGUGGCGUCCUAAUCAUUACUGUAUUAUCCAUUAUAACACCUGUCAUAUUAUUUUUAUGUUAGCGGCAUGUCAGCAUAUAGUAAAUUAAAUUGGCAAUGAGACUUAAUUACAAUAAUUUAAAAAGUUCGACCCAAAAGGGUACAAAUUAAAAUUUAAGAACUUAAGUGUCGAGUAUCUCAUAGUUUGAGGACCAAAAUUGUAAUUUACUCAAGAAAUAAUUAAGGGGUUCUUUGGUUCUUCAGAAAAAAUAUGAAAAUAAGUUUUCGAGAAAAAAAGUAUUCUAUGGAAAAUUUAUUUUGCAGUUUUUCAACCAUUUAGUUUCAAAAAAAAAAAAAGAAGCUUUUUUAGAUUUUACGAUAAACUAGUUUUUUUCGGUUUUUCUUUCAAAAAAGAUUUGGAAAAAGCAAACUCUAUUUUUUCAUGAAAUUUAGAGAAAAACUUCCCAAAAACGCUAAUUCUUUCUGGAACCAUAUGACCGAAAAUUAUAAAAAUUAGUUUUUUGUAAAAAGAAAAAAAAAUUUUCGAAACAAAGAUUAAAAUGAUCAAGAAAAAAAAAAUAUAUACCAAAUAGAGAUGAAUUAAUUAAUAAAUUAAUCAAUCAUUAAUUAUCCAAUCAUUUUAAGUACAUGCAUCAUUAAUUCAUAAGCUAAUUAAACUCGCAUCAUAACCUCACUCUCUCUCUCCUCCAUACAUUAAUUUCUCUCUCAUGGUGAUCAGGAGAUAUCGAGGGGAAUUUCAGUGCAAGCAGUAAGCAAGGAAGGAGAGGAGGGCGGCGCCGACGACGGUGCCGACGGCGGGGGCGGCCGCGAGGGCUCCGCUGGCGGGUCCAGGCGCGGGAGCUGCCGCCGCGUCGUUGGCGAGAGCGGCGGUGGCGGAUGCGGCGGCGACGAGAGCGGCACAGGCGAUCUUCUUCAUCUCCAUCGCGAUAUAAAAAUAUUUAUUUAUAUGCGUCGACCGGACUGAGACCGCGGAAGCCUGCACUUUAUUGCGGGUUCGGAAUUUUAUUGGAGAGGGAAGACUGGACCUCAAUCUAACUGCAGGCUUGAGGGGAAAAGGAGAGGGCUGGAGGCCAGGUUUUAUACUGGCUGCAUGUGUGUGUGUGUUUGCUAAAAAUAGUUAGCUAAUUAAUUAGGUUAUUAUUAAUUAAUUUAUUUAUUUAGGGUUGUUAGUUAGCAACAAAAUUAGCGUUUUUUAAGUUUUUUCUUUUUUGUUUUUUAUUUGUGGUGAGAGAAAUUUAAGGGUGAAAUGUAUCAGAUAGUCCCUGUACUAUCUCAAUGUCGCGACUUGGAAAAUCUAAAAAAAAAGAAAUUCUCGAAGAAAAAGUUUUCCAUAAUGCAGAACUUUUUUUCUAGUUACUUUUGCUAGUUCGGUUUCAUGAAAAGUUAUAUUUCGUUUGGAAUUGCGAGAAAAUUGCGUUGCAUGCAGUAAAAGAGUACGACAAAAAAUACCCUAUUUGUUAAUCUCCGUGCGUAAUAUUGCGUUCCGUAUAUCGCGAUGAGUCAAUUAUAAUAGUCUCAUCGGAGAACGCAGAAGCAUAUACCUAUAUAUUUUUAUUCCAACUCUAUUUUAUUUAAUAGCGUCAGAUAAUACGCGCCUAACUUUUUUGAAAACUUUUUUUUUCUAAAUUUAAUAUAACAGUAUUGUUUUUGUUUUCUGAAUCCUUUUUGUUCAAAAAUAAAGAAAAUAGUAGUUUUUCAUAAAACCUUUUUUUUUGAAACAAAAUAGGUGAAAAACUAAAAAAGAAGUUUUUCAUAAAGCCUUUUUUUUCCUGAAAAACGUUUUAAUUAAUCCAUAAACAUCUAUAAAAAUGAUUUAAUUUAUUUUAUCCUUCUAUUGUAAAUGACUCACUAGCUUAUUUCAGCUUUAUAUAAAAAUCCGACUUUUAUUGAUAAUCAAAUAGGAAUUAAAGUAAAUUAAACAUACAUACAUAUACACGUGACAAUUAUUGCGAGACUAAAUAUAUUUAAAUUGAAAGUACAGGGACCAAGUUGCCAUACGAGAAUAGUACAGGAACCAUUGAUACAUACAUUUUUAACCUAAUUAGUUAGUUAAUUAAUUAAUUAAUCUAAUUCGAUGAGGAUUUAUAUAUUAAUUUGUGGAGAUAAUUAAUUAGUCAAUUAGUAAAUUAUUAGGGUUUUUUUUUUUGGUUUGGUGUAAAUUAUUUGUAUCCACGUACGUGGCGCGUUCUACGUGCAUGCAUGCGCAUGAGAAGCUAUUUUCUCGUUCAAACUUCAAACUCCAUGACCGAGUCCAUUUGCCAAUAUUAAUUAGUUGCUAGGGGCAAAUUGGUCCAUAUAAAAAAUAGCUAAUGCGAGUGACCAAUCAUUGGACGACACGUGUGUUACGUCACACGUGUCCAUAGCUCAUUUGCUCGAUUUGAUGUUUGAUGUUGUGAAUAUAUCCAGAGACGAAGCCAGAAUUCAAUUACAAGGGAGGCUAAAAUAUGUACAAAUAAAAAGUUUAGCAAAUAAAUAAAAUUUUAACUACUCAAAUUUUUAAUAAAAAAAAUUUAGUGAUUAGAUAAUUAAUGUUAAAAAAUAUUAAAUUUAUUUCUUUAAUUUACACUCGCUUAACUUCUAAUUAUUUUAUUUGCAUUAUUUCAUUCAAAUAAUUUAAGAAUUUUACUAAAUCUAAUAGCAAUUUAGUUAGAAUUUAAUUUUUUUAAAUUUUUGUUAAUAAAAUAAUAACAACCAAUGACUAAUAUCUAACAGAGCUAUUAAUUUUAGCAUACUAUUUUAUUUAGUUAAAUAAAUUAGCUCAUCAAAAUAAUUAGAAAGUUAAGAAUGUAUAAAUAAAAUAUUUAAAGUUGAAAGGACUUAUUUUAAAAUGAACUAUAAUUAAAAGGUUCUUAAUAUAUUUUCACCUAUAAAACACAUAAGACGAGAGAGAGCUCUACAUUAGCACUAAAAUUUUUUUACAAAAUAGGCCGAUAUAUUUUAAAAAUUAACUGAAAAUAUAUAAACUACCAAAGGACUAUAAAGUAAAUAUUAAAAAGUUGAAGAGGACGAUGGCUCCUUUGGGUCUAUAUAUAUGGGCCGACCCUGUGCGUAAGCCUUGGAGUCUUGGCCCACAAGCCAACAAUUCUUUUCAAAAAAUUUCACUUUGGUCCCCUAAAUUUACAAUAUUUUAAUUUUUUUUAAUAGCUUACUAGUGGAUUGUUCUGUAAUUUUAAAAAUGUGGGGGGGGGCCAUGGCCAUUGUCGGCCCCCACAUGGCUCCGUCCCUGAAUAUAUAUAUAUAUANUUUUCAAUGAUCUAGCUUUCAAAUCGACGAUCGGCUCCGUUAGACUUGAUCUACACUAAUAAAAGUAUUUGAAAACUAAAUUUCAUAAUUUUUCGGCAGCAUAUACCUAUCAAACGAGUAGUCUAAAAAUGAAUGGCUGAAAAUAAAAAUCUUGUAAAAAAUGAUGAUAAAAGACUUGAAUUUAAGAUCAGAGGCACUGAUCUUACUCUAAAUAGUGAAAAAAAAUUCCUAUAAAAAUUUCAUCAGAUUUGGAUUGUUUUACACCGUUAAAUUCACAAACGCAUCACAUCUACCAUUAAAAUUGUCAAUUUUGAGACAAUUUGACCACUAGUCAAAUGAUGCCAAAAAAUUAUGAAAUUUAGUUUCCAAAUGCUUUUAAUAGUGUAGAUCAAGUCUAACGAAGCCGAUCGUCGAUUUGGAAACCGCAUCAUUGAAAACAACUUGGUAGCACGGAGGCCUCCAUCCUACCGAUAGUAUACCAGCCUAGCUCUCUCUCUCUCUCUCUCUCUCUAUAUAUAUAUAAAAAAGGAAAAUGCUAUCUCCAACAACCCUUUGUUAAGAAGUCCUAAUCCGUCACUUUUAUUUUUACACAAGGGUUACAAUUUAUUUUUAGGAUUUAAUUUCUUUUAGGGUUUUAGUAUUAAAAAUAAUAUCUAACGAAUUAUCAGAUGGAAGCAAAAUUAAUGCGUGACAGCUUAUCGAGAGCUCUUUAAUGAAGCAUCAUUAGAUAACUCCCCACUCUCUUUAAUGAAGCAUCAUUAGAUAACUCUCUACUGAAGUUUUAUCCUUGUACCCUUAUACAUCGGCAUAAAUCUGAUAUGUCCUUCACCGUUCUAGAAUUCACAAAAAUCUAAAUGAACUUUUAGUUAAAAAAAAAAAAAAAAAACUGAUAAGACUAUUGGGGAUAACUUGUUCGGUAUAUUUUCAGCGUAAGAAUGUCAACUUAUUCAGUAUGAGACUUUUUCGGUAUCACUGUAACUAAGGAUUUUGAUUUUUGUCUCUUCAAAAAUUUUGCUAUCCAUGAUUUGGUACGAUAGCAUAUUUCACCUACAAUUCGAUUUGUCUUAUUUUAAAAAAUUAACUUGAAUGACGAAUAUGAUAUUUCAUUCUAAAUAUUUUAUCACACUUCUUAUCUAGAAAAUAUAUAAUUUUUUUUAGAAAAUUAAAAUAAUAUAAGAGAUAUAAACGAGAUAUUUAUAUAUCCAAACAGGAAUCUCAUAUUGUUUAUUCAAUAAUCAUUUGUUUGUUAAUUGUGGAGGAAAAUGAAAAUGUGUCUACAAUUUUUUUAGUAGGAAGGUUAAUUGGAACAAGUCUCAAUGAUGCGAGCAUUUGUUAAAUCACCUUGUAAGUGAAAUAUACUGUCUCGGAGAAAAUUAACUAAAAUCAAUUAAACUGAGUUUUUGUAACCUAAUUAGAAGUUUUUUCUCCUCAAGAUCCUCAAUGUAAAUAGACACUGAAACUCCAACCCUUGACUUUUAAAGUUAGUUCUCUUGAAUAUCUUCUUUUUUUUUUUUGAGAGAGAAAUAGAUAGCACGCUACCCGCUUUGUUUAUUUUAUUUAGGAAUAAACUUAGCAUUUUCUAGCGACACGAACUAACGGAUAAAAAUUUGAUGAGCAGAGUCCCCAAACAUAAUAAUUUGGGUGUUGUUGUCCAGAUCCGCACCAUGUGGCAAGCCGUACUCAUUUUAACUACCUAAAAAAAGAAUAUUAUUUUUACUGGAUUAAAGUAUUUAAAAAAUUUAUUUUUGUUGGGCGAUUGAGAUGAGCUCGGCUUACCACAUCACGCCGAUCCGGAAAAUCCCCAAAAUAUUAUGUUUGGAAACUGAAAAGAAAUCAUUUCGAUGCUUUAAAGCUCACAAAAAUAGAAAAAAAAAAAAAGAAAUUUUGAAAGCGCUUUACAGCACAACUCCAAUUCGCUUUUUUUUUUUUUUUUUCUUUUUUGUGUGUGUGUGUGUGGAGAAACCGUGCAUCACUAAAGAUGAUGAAUAAAAUCUAGGUAAAAGUGUAUAAAACUUCUUUGCAACUAUAGGCAAUUUUGAUUCCACUACCCAACUUUUCAAAAUUUUGAAUUUAGAAUACAAUCUUUUUAUUUGUUUAAUUUAAAUAAUUUCAUAGAUCUGUAAAUACAAAAUUUAAACUAAUUACUUACUUUAAUAAAUUUAUAGGUACGUAAAUUACAUAAAAUAUACUAAUUAAAUCGGUAAAAAUAAACAAUCACCAAUUGGCUCAAAUCAAAUAAAUUAAAAAACCGGAUAGUAACUUUUACUAAAACCAAAUAAAACGAACAAAACCGACCAAAUUAUUCCGAUUNAUCCGGAAAAUCCCCAAAAUAUUAUGUUUGGAAACUGAAAAGAAAUCAUUUCGAUGCUUUAAAGCUCACAAAAAUAGAAAAAAAAAAAAAGAAAUUUUGAAAGCGCUUUACAGCACAACUCCAAUUCGCUUUUUUUUUUUUUUUCUUUUUUUUGUGUGGAGAAACAGUGCAUCACUAAAGAUGAUGAAUAAAAUCUAGGUAAAAGUGUAUAAAACUUCUUUGAACUAUAGGCAAUUUUGAUUCCACUACCCAACUUUUCAAAAUUUUGAAUUGAGUAUACAAUCUUUUAAUUUGUUUAAUUUAAAUAAUUUCAUAGCUCCGUAAAUACAAAAUUUAAACUAAUUGCUUACUUUAAUAAAUUUAUAGUUACGUUAAUUACAUAAAAUAUACUAAUUAAAUAUAUAAAGAUAAACAAUCACUAAUUGGCUCAAAUCAAAUAAAUUAAAAAACCGGAUAGUAACUUUUACUAGAACCAAAUAAAACGAAAAAAAAAANAAUCACCAAUUGGCUCAAAUCAAAUAAAUUAAAAAACCGGAUAGUAACUUUUACUAAAACCAAAUAAAACGAACAAAACCGACCAAAUUAUUCCGAUUCGUGCUUCUAGUUCAGUUCUUUUUUUUGGGGAAAAAAAAAAAGAAGAAAAAGAUGAAUGAGAAAAAAAUGAAAUAAUUUUAGCUGAGAAAAGGAAAAUGGUUUCCCUCUAAAAGCAUAACACUUGGAGAUUAUAAUCCUUCUGAUGAAAACCAAUUAUCAGACACAUCAAUAGAACAGUUGGGAAAUCAACUUUUCACUCAGAUGAAUUAGAAAUCAAAUGAUGCAUUUAAUAUGAGAAAAAAAGACAGUCAAAAUUNGUUCAGUUCUUUUUUUGGGAAAAAAAAAAAAAGAAGAAAAAGAUGAAUAAGAAAAAAAAUGAAAUAAUUUUAGCUAAAAAAGGGAAAAUGAUUUCCCUCUAAAAGCAUAACACUUGGGAGAUUAUAAUCCUUCCGAUGAAAAUCAAGUAUCAGACAUAUCAAUAGCACAGUAGAGAAAUCAACUUUUCACUCAGAUGAAUUAGUAAUCAAAUGAUGUGUUUAAUAUGAUAAAAAAAGAGUGUCAAAAUUUAGAAACUGCGCCGACUUUACCUUUGCUUUUCUCUCCUUUUUCUCUCCUUUGGCUAGUAACUUUUUCUCAUUUUAUUUCUCGCAGAAAUUUUUACCAUUGCGAAGAAUGCAAUGUCCAUAUUUACCUGCAGGUUGUCCACGCUGAUGCUGUAAAAAAUACGAUAAUUAUUCGUGUAACAAAAAUGUAUCUCAUGUAUCGACACUAAUCAUACCGUCUAAUGUUGCUAAACAGAAGUUUCGGAAGGAAAAGAAAGGAAACGAAAGUAAGGAACUAAAGAUCUUUGCUAUUUUGCCCGAAAAAGAAAAAAAAAUUCGGCACUUAUUUUGAUUUUCCAAUCUCUUCAUGAUUUUCAUCUAUACGUCAUUCAACUAAAGCAUAUCAUAUUUGCGGACCUAAAUAUCCCGGUCUAAGAUAUCUAGUUCAUACAUUCAUCAUAACAAGGCCGAUGGCAUUCUAGGGUAUGAAAAGAGAUCUUGACACAAAGCAGCGACAAUAGAAAAGUUUGUUCAAAACUCGAAAGUGCAAAACGGAUUAAAAGACGGACUUUUUGGAGAAAACUCAAACACCAUUGAAUCAAAGAGCUCAAUUAAAAGCAUUUGUUCAGUUAUAUAACAAGUUAUAAUUACACAUAAUGAGAAAAGGAUUGUUACCUUGCAUUAUUGUAACCAAUGAGAGAAAAGAUCCAUAAAUAGGACCAAGGUUGCCGAGCCCCUAGCCUCGAGCAACGGGUGUGCAAUAAUCAAAUAACUUGAGAAUAAGCAUAAGCAUCAGAGACACCACAAGCUGCAAUUCGAAAGAACAAGGAAAAAUUUGGUUGUGGAGAAAAAUCGAAAUAGAAUGAAACUUUACAAAGAUAUAGAAGUCACAUCCUCUUUCAAAAACUAUAAAGAUGGAUGCAAUCUGUUAUCUCUUACCAUGUAGCAGUAGGGGAACAGAGGAGGAUCAAUUCCUCUGAAGAAGUUGCGAAACCAAGAACCAGGUAAUCAGCCUUACAAUCACUCUUUAAUAUCGGCCAUCAACCACCUUCCAGAAUGUUCAUGAUCAGCCUACAAAGCAAAAUUAUUUGGUUGAAAUGAUUAGGAUAUUUCACAGAAAGACAGAUAUUUAUCGGAGCUACAUCAUUCAAACUAAAUGGUUGAUUACUUUUUGAACAUUUGAACAGGCGGUAAUGCUAAUUAAAGCACUUCAAAAAGGAUAGCAAUACCCAGCUCUCAUAGUCAAAAAGGAACAAGAAGUCUAACUCCAUCUUACCUUGGAUUGCGAGUCUUCCCAGAACUUUUCAAGUUGUACUGUUCGACAAUCAUAGCUGCUGAGGAAUCCAAAUUUCAUGGCAUCCACUUUGUGCUACUCAUUACUUUCAGAGAAGAUAAACAGUUUAUCAUCAAGAUAUUUGGCUAAGAAUUCUUUGGCCCUUCACAAGCACGCUCUUUGCUAAACAUCACUGUAUCUAGGCUCCUGAAAUCGGAAAAUGUGUAAUAAAACUUGCCAUAAAAUAAUGGCAUAUCCCGGCUAACUUCGAGAACAAAUUGAUAUAUCCUGGCAAACUUCAAAUAACCAGUAUUUUCCCAUGAAACCUUAAAACCUUGCAAAUACAUCGUUUGAGUGGUCAAAGGUCCCCAAUUCUCCAUUUCUCAUCCAAAUGGCCAUUGAUGUCAAAUAAUGGCAACAGCUGCGUGAUUGGCAGUGGUAACAGCAGUGCAAUUCAGCAGCUGUAGGUGGUGGUGCAAUUUACUGUUGGCAGUGAUGGUGUAGUGAUUCAGACUCGCCAGGAGAGCGAGAGAGGGUAUAAUGGUCAUUUAGACUAGUUUCACCGUCUCAGUAACAUAUUUACAAGGUUUCAAGGUUUUGCAAGAAUUUGUGUGUUACUCAGAAAUUUGGACGGACGAGCAUGCAGUCACCAAAGUUUGCAGAGAUAACCAGUAUUAUCUCCAUAAGAUACAUUGCAAACUCAGAAAAAAAAAAAAAAAAAAAAAAAAAAAAAAAAAAAAAAAAAAAAAAAAAAAAAAUCAAAGAAACAUACUGCUGGUUACAGAAUGAUUGUGGCCGUUGAUUCUGCUUUUAGCUAUCAAAUGUAUUCAGUCAAACAACUAAUAUCACUGACUUGUCAAUCUAGAGCAGCAAAAAGAGAAAUUCCGAUGAUUCAAUUACAACUAAAUUGACAAAUUCAUACUCUAUAGCUACAGGGAUGUUAUAUAUAUUGUACGCCUGAAAGCCAGAGGUUGCAACCUACAUAUGUAUGUGAGAUAUAUGCACCCAACAUCAAGGUUGAAACUUAAAAGGCAAUGGGAGUUUUAUUAUCACAAUAUCAUGACUAAAGGAUUUAGGUGGUGAAACAGGAAAUUGAUAUAUUAACGGCGUUUAGAGGAUCUGCAACAUUUAAUGUUGCCUCAAAUGAGAUAAAUCCUUAAACAGAAUAACAAAUUGCAAUGAAAAAUAGCAUCAUAGUGCUUAUUUCACUGCAACUGUCUUAUGAGAAAUUACGGAAUUAAUGCACUAAAUGACAAUAAAAUCUACAUUAUCACUAAGAAAGACCAUUUUCACUUAACAAUAAAUGCAAAAUCAAUUGAGCCACUAGUUUUGUACUGCUUAUUUCACUGCUAAUAGGGAAAAGAGUUGUUAGGUAAUACCUGAAAUAAUGUCCAUGAGCUAGUAGAUGCCGAAUGUUUGAUUUAACCAGGGUCCUUUGUUAGUACCCAAGGCAAUAAACCACCUUUAACAAUCAAAGCUUGCAAUACAUAUAGCGAGCAGAAAUCAUUUUUCUUGUUUAAAGCAUUGCACAUCACAGCGGCUAACUUCUGAUCUGGACGUAUGCCAAAACAUAUCAUCAUCUUGAAUAACAUUUUUGCUUCAUCUAGAUAAUAUACUUUGCAUAGUCGGUUGAUUGCUGAGCUAAAAUCCUUAAUUGAGACCUUGAACCCAGCAUUUAUCAGUCUAUCAAAUAGCAGAAUAGCUUUAUAUGGCAUUCCCUUUGCACAUUGUGCUUUGAUUAUUGUCAUGUAGGCAAAUUUUCUCAAGUCAACACCUUUUUCAACAAGAGAAUUCAAAAGCAUUUCAGCAUGCUUAACUCUUCCUUUCAAGCAAAGGACAUUAAUAAGCAAAUUAUAAGUAACCGGGCUCGGCACCACGCCAUGUUGUAGCAUAUUGUCAUGAAUGCGAAACGCCAUUUCCGUGUUACUUACUUCACAGAACCCUUGUAUAAGUGUAUUGUAGGUUAUUUGAUCAGUAGUUACAUCUUUUAUAUGCAUAUCGUGGAGAACAUGAAUAGCCUUCUGAAACAUGCCGUGCUUACAAAGUCCCUUUAUAACCACGCUGUAGGUGAUUGCAUUUGGCACGAUCGAUUUACCAACCAUUUCAUCAAACAGCUUCAGCAUCGAAUCAAAGUUCCCAGCUUCACAGAAAGCAUCCAUAAGAAUGGUGUACGUCACUACAGUUGGAACCAACCUUUUCAACUCAAAAGUCUUAAAGAAGCUCUCCGCCAUUGUUAAAUUUCCAACUUUGCAAAAUGCAUAAAUGAGUGAGUUACAAGUGACAAUGGUCGGCUCCAACCCUAAUUUAAUAGCUUGCUCGUAAAGUCGAACAGCAUUAUUGACAUCACCAACUUUGGCAUAUCCAUCUAUCACUACGUUAUAUAAUGUAAUAUCGUUUACUUGACAUUUGUUAGCCAAGUUUUCUAAGUACCAUCUAGCUUCCACCAACAUUCCUUUCUUACAAAGGCCAGAAAGAAUUGACCGAUGAGUGAAUAGAUUUGGCAUUACUCUUUUCGAGCACAUAAUCUUGCAUACUUGAAGUGCCCUCUCUAUUUCUCCCAACUUGCAAUACCCACUAACAAGGGUGGAAUAUGCAACUAUGUCCAUAUCCAAACCAAUGGUUUCGAUCUCAUUAAGCAACUUCUCCACUUCAUGAACCAACCCCCUUUUGCAAAGAGCAUUUAAAAGCACGCUAUAUGUCACAAUAUUUAAUUCAAACCCUCGGGAAAGUAUCUCCAUCCUCAUCCUUAACCCUUCCUCAACAUUCCCCUUUUCACAAAGUCCAGUAAUUAGUAUAGUGUAUGUUACAAGGUCUGGUUGUAGCCCUUGUUGAAUCAUCAUUUGAAUUAAUUUCCAAACCUCGCUCAUCAGACCUAGUAAACGGUAUCCAUUGAUGAGACUGUUGAAUGUGAUCAUGUCGAGUUCCAUCCCACUCUUCUGCAUCUCCUCAGAGAGCUCCAAGGCUUCCUCCAUAGAACCAACUAUACAUAGCCCAUGUAUAAGCGUAGAGUAACUAUAUCUAUCAGGAAGCAACCCGUAUUUAAGCAUUAUUGGUAUGAACGAUUUUGCUACCUGUACAAAGCCGACAUUACACAAUGCAGACAUGAGGGCAUUAAAAGUCAUAAUGCACGGUCGGAACUCUUUCCUUUCUCUUGCCUGUUGGAAAAAGUCUAUGGCUUCCACCAAUUUGUGUUGCUUGCAAAGACCGUCAAUAACAAUGUUACAAGUGUAUUCACUAUGAACAAGACCAUGAGCUUUGGCUUCUUGGAAAAGCUCCCAGGCUAUGUCUGUACAUCUUACACUGUACAACAAGCUAUCAUAAGUGGAUAUUGAAGCUUGCAUGGUUAGGCUAUCCAUCUUGCUAAGGACAUAGAGAGCAUCAAGAAUCAUUUUGGAUGUGGCAUAAGCAUUUGCCAGCAUGUCCCAUACAAUAGUGUUAGAAUCCCACUCUCGGAAUUUAUACAACAACAUCUGACAAAUGAAUGGCGCAGAACCAGACCCUGAAGUGAACAAUGUGAAAUGAUUAAACUUUUUAUGACCUAGAUGUUAACUGAAUAGCAGAAAAUAAAGCGCCCAAAAGCAAUGCAAAAAAGCGCAGCUUAAAAAUCAAAGAACUACAACAGCCUGAGUUAUAGUUCUCAUCUUGUAAAUCUGGAAGCAACAAAUAAUGGCCCUUCAUUUGAGACAAUAAGUCUAACAAUGACAAGAUGAACUCAAAAUUAGUUUAAAUCAAAAUAUUAAUUGAAAGUUAAUUCCUUCUCUACUAGAGGAAAAUGUAACAAUCGCUGAAUCUACAACUCUUCAAAGAUUGCAUUACAUCAUAGAUAAAAAGAGAAGCAAGUCGGAGAACAUACAAGCAGAAAACACAUCACUACUGCUCAGUGUAUCUUCGUUAUAAUCCUAUAACUAUCUGAUUCCUUGAUGAUAGCAUUGACAAAGAAGAAUGCUAGUACCACCACAAUUUGUUACAGCAGAUUCGGUCCGCCAUAAUUAUGCAGAUCUGUUAUAGGAUCAAUUCCGAUUAGCUCUUGUUCACUUAGAAAAUGCGGUUAGAGGAACUAUAUGUGGAGCAAUCAGGCAUAAAUUGAUACUAACUCCCCAAAUUUGGUAGCUUCAACUCCAUUAACAACUACUCACGAAUCAUUUUUUGGCCUACACCCUUUAUUUCAAGUUUCCUGAUAAGACGCACUUAACCACCAAAUAUAAAAAUGCAGUACAAGUGCUAAGUGUGUGUUUGGCAUGAGAGAGCCUUUCUGUACAAGCAUUCCAUAUGGGAUAUGUACCUGACCGAUUGCACUAAGCCAUGUGACAUGGUGAAGGUCUUUUAAGUUGAAACGAUGUUAAGAAAAGAAAGGUAAAAACGUACAGAGAAACCCCUCAAUUAUAGGACACUCUGAAAUAGCCCUCCAAACUAUAUUUUUUUCCCAUAAAACCCCCCUCGACUUUUGAUUUUUGAAAUUGAGUGAUUCUAGCUAAAUAGCUGGGGACCUUUUAUUGCAUGGAUUGGGAAUUCAUCAAAUUUGGUAGUUUAUGCUACUUUGCAACGAAUCAAACUGAACUGAAUUAAUUGAUUGACGACUAAUAGCUAACUGAACCGUGAAAUUUAAUUAUUUUUUUAACUUAAUUAACAAUAAAAGCUCAAAUAAAACAAACUAGCAGUUUAAGAGGUGUAAAGUUGAACGAUCUAUUUCAGAAUGGUCCAUAAUUUACCAAAAAGAUAAUUUUAUUGUGCUUUUAUGCCAAAUGAAAAUAUUUGGUUUGAUGCCAUUAUUUCUUGCAACAGAGAAGGCCUUCUUGAUGGCACAAUCAGGCUUCUGCAAAAGUUUUUCUUUUUUUGAGUAAAGCAGCUGCAGAAGCUUCGAAUUGGAGACUCUACUUUGAGUAAGGUUUUUUUUUUUCUGGGGAUUGUAAAAAUAUAAUGUUGCGUAGAUUGCAAUUAAUUCGAUUGAGAUAUAAUUUUUGCAGUUCCAUUGGAAAACGGAGAAGCAUAUCUCUAUAUACUUUUUGCGUCAACACCAAAGUGUCACGGACGCUGACACAGGACACGAAACACGACACGACUCGAACACCGCGGCUCGGCAUCUUUCAAAAAAUUAGGACACGGACACGGUAUGAACAUCGCUAAUAAAAUAUAAUAUUAUUAAUAUAAUAAUAUAAUUUUAUUAUAUAUAAAAUAUUAUUUUUGGUAAAAUAUUAUUAUAUUUUUCAUACGAAUGAUAUUUAAUAAAACUUUCAUUGAUAGUUCAUAUAUUUUAAGAAAAGAACUUCUCCAUUAUACAUAAUUUAUUUAUAUUGUCAAAAAAAAUUAUAUACAUUCAUCAAAAAUCGAAAAUAUUUAUUAUCGUACAUUACAUAUGCAUAGAAAAAGUAAAAUAAAAAUAGGUAUAUGUAUGCGCUAUGAAUCGGCAUUAAACGGGUGUCUGAGAAGUGUCCACAUCGGACACGUGUCCAACACCAACAUGCUAGGCUUAUAGAAGUGUCCGUGAUACGUAGGUUAACACUUUUUCAAACAAUAUUAGAUAUGAUUCCGCACACAACAAAAGCUCCAGAUUUUUAUUUUAUUUAUUUUAUUUUUUUUUGCUUGCAACAUCACUAACUACUAAGAAAAAGAAAAAAGAAGAGCCUUAAAGAGAGAUCACCUUCCUCAUCAGUAAUUUGCCUCAAAAUCCUCCUCACCUCCUUCAACCUCCCCUCCCGCGCCAGCGCGUGACAAACCCCCAACCGCAAAACCCUAGGGUCCUCUUCGACAAGACCCCCAUGAUUCGGGGCGAAAUCGGUCGGAAAAGGCGGCUCAAACCCAAGUUUCGCUAGGGUUGGUGCUUCUCCCGAGUGAUCGGUGCCUCCCAAGAGAUCCUCCUCCUCCGCCGCCGCCGCCGCCGAAGAGGAAGAAGAAGAAGAGGAGAACGAGGGUUUCUGGGGAUGAAGAGGGAGGAGGAGGCGAGAGCGUCGUCGUCGUCGAAGGAGGAGGAGGAGGCGAUUUGGUGGGAAGGGCAUCGAGGAGCCGCAUCUAGGGUUUUUAUCGGUUCCAUGGCGGGAACGUAAAACCCUUUUAUGCGAGAGGGUUUCGUUUUUAAGCAAUCAAAACCGGUCCCCGAACCGGCUCAACCGGACACCGGUUUAUUUUGUUCCGGUUUCAAACCGGUUCGAACCGGCGUAUCACAUCACAAUGCUCUAAGCUACCGUUUGGUUUGGGAAUAAACAAAAAAUAAUUAUUUCAAAAAUAAAUAUAAAUUGAAGUAUAAGCGGGAUUAUAUCAAUUUUGUAUUUGGAUGAAAAUUGGAUUAUUUCUGGGAAUAAAAAAAUAACGUUUGAUUAGGCAAGAUGGAAUAAGAAUUAAAGUGGGCAAUUAUAAGUGAAAAAUAAUGAUAUUAUUCUUUCUUUUUAGAAUUUAAAUUUUUAUAUUUUAUAUUUAUAUUUUAGAAUUUAAAAUAUAAUCUUUUAAAUUUUAAAAUUUUAAAAUAUCAAAUUUACAAUUUAAAAAAAAUUAAAAUUUUAAAUUUUAAACUUUAAAUUUAAGAUGAAAUUUUUUAAUUUAAAAUUGCAAAAUAUCAAAUUCUAAAUAUAAAAAAAUUAAAAUAUCAAAUUUUAAAUUUUUAAAUUAAACAAUUUAAAAUUUAAAUUUUUAAUAUUUUAAUAAUUUGAUUUUAAAAAUAUAAAUUUUUAAUUUUUAAACUUANUAAGAAAUUUAAAUUUUAUAAUAAAUUAAAAAUUCUCUCUCUCUCUUUACGGGUGGAACAAGCUAGGUUAUCAUAGCUUGUUCCACCCCCGUUAAGGUGGGAAUUAGUGUUCCCACUAAUUUUUUUUUUUUGUGUUUGGAGGAUAAGAAUACAAUAAACCUUUUAUUCCGUCCUUAACCUCCAACCAAAUAUGGCCUUAAAAGUCGGGUCAAAGAGCAAUUAGAAAAUAUUACAGGAUUAAGAGUUACAGAUUUAACUAGGAAUAUAAAUGGGGCGGAUCCACGGAUCCGAGGGCAAGACGAAACUCUACCUCCCGCUCCAUAUUUUGUUUGGUCGGGGGCCGCAACGAAUUAAUAUUAAUUUUAUUUUUGGCGCCAGUUUACCGCUCCACUCAUGAUAAAUCAGAAUAAGAACGGAUUUUUUGGUGGAUUGAAAUGGAUCAAAGGAUCAAAAGGGAUAUCUCGCCUCCUGCUCCAUUUACUUGGCAGAUCGAGACGGAUUCGGGGCAGGUUAAUAUUAAUUCUAUUUUUGGCCCUCGUUUACCGCUCCAUUUGGGACAGAUCGGAAUCGGAGCGGAUUUUUGGUGGAUCGAGAUGGAUCAAAGGACAAAAAGGGAUCUCCCACCUCCUGCUCUAUUUACUUGGUAGAUUAGGAUGGAUAUGGGGUGGGUUAAUUUUAAUUCUAUUUUUUGGCCCCUGUUUUCCACUACAUUUUGGAUAGAUUGAAAUAUGAGUUGAUUUUUAGUGGAUCGGGACAGAAUAUUGGACAAAAAAGGGAUUCUCCCUGCUCUAUUUACUUGAUGGAUCUAGAGGGAUUUGUGAUAGGUUACAUUUUUCUAUAUUUUUUUGUUCCUACUUAUCGCACCAUUUGGGGGGAUCGGUGCUGGAGCUCUAUUCGGAUCCAUUUGCAUCUCUAGAUUUAACUAGUGGGCCAACUACUAGUUGCACCAGCGAUGUCACGUCACACAUAUUUAAUUAUUAUUUUUAAUUUAAUUGUAUAAAUAUAUAAAAUAUUAUUCUAGUAUCGUAUUUUAUUAUAAAAUACUGAUUUUUAGACUAAAUUAAGUAGAGAUAAGUUUUCAAAUUUCAACUUUUAAAAAACUAAUCUAUGCUGAUAGAAAAUAAAAUUAGCUAAAUUAAUUUUAAGCCAUUGGAUUUUAAUAUGACUUCAUAAAAAAAAUAAAAAAAAAAUUAGUUGACUUAGAUUAAAAUCGGACCGUUUUACCAGCUCGAUGGUUGAACUGCCAGUGCAAAUGGUUCAAAACAGUUUUUUAUUGAAUCGUUUUUUAACUUAUUCUGUUCAUAAAGUUAAACGAAACUGCUUUAUAAAUUGGGUUAUGGUCAAAUUGGUAGAACCAGCUGGAUCGAUCUGCUUUUUAAAUCAUUACCAAAAUAUGUGGGUUGGCCCAAAAUCCAAAUAGUAGAAAUUUUUAUGUCUAUGUGUGUAACAAGUUGAACACGAGCGAGCUAAUCCAAACUCUUAUUCGAUUCGUUAAGAUUUUGAACUGCACGAGUAACUCCAGCUUGUGUUUAGCUCAUUAAAAUUUCGAGCUUAAAAAUUCAAUUCAUAUUUAGCUCGUUCAGUAAACGAGCAAUCAAUCUCUAAUUUAUUUUGAGCCGAACACAAACCGACUCACAAACAAUAAGUUGAAUUGAGAGCCCUAAUUGUAUUUAGGUUUCAAAUAAAAGCUUUUUUAUUUUGACAUGUCGGAGUAACAUGUUUGGCUGCACCUCAUAAUGCCAUUCUCAGCAUUGUGUCAGCUUACACAUAUAAUCAUAUUAUAAUAUCUAAUUAUAUUUUAUGUUUAUAAUAUAUAUUAUAUAUAUUAUCCAAUAUUAUACUAUUAAUCUUCAAAAAAUUUAUUUUAAGAUGAUAAUAAUAUGAAUUUAGAUUUAGUAGCGAUGUGAGUCAUUAUUAUAUCGUUAUUCUUUCAGCAGACUUCAAUGCGACUGAAGCGUUAAUAAUAUUUCUGUGUAGUCUAUAGUAUCGACUAUGAUCACAAUAUUUUCAUAAUUUGCAAAAAAAAAUAAAAUAUAAAUUCAAUAAAAUAAUGAUAAAAUAAUUUUUUAAACAAGACAAUAGAGUUCAUUUUAGGUAGGUAGAAAAAAAUUUAAAAAGAAGAGGGAAUGUAUUCUACCCCUAUAUGAAGAGUCUAAACUAUUUAAAAAUUAUUUAUAUAUUUUAAAAUUUUACAAUCAAAAAUAAAAAAACUAGAUUGGGCUUAAAAAAAUAUAAAUCUUCUUCUCCAUAUAUGAAGAGAGAAAAAAAAAUUAAGAAAGAGGAAAAAAAAAAAAACUUCCCCUCUCCUCUCCUCCUGCUGGCCCCACCCGUACCGAGCCCACCCUACAUGCCCACGCCCACCCGCGCCCGCACCCGCUGCCACCCCCGUCUAUGUGUGUGUAACAAGUUGAACACAAGCAAGCUAAUCCAAACUCGUAUUCGAUUAAGAUCUCGAACUGCGACAGUGACUCCAACUUGUGUUUAGCUCGUUAAAAUUUCGAGCUUAAAAUUCAAUUCAUUAUUUAGCUCGUUCAAGUAAACGAGCAAUCAAUCUCUAAUUUAAUUUGAGCCAACACAAACCGAACUCACAAACAUAAGUUAGAAUUGUGAGCCCUAAUUGUAUUUAGGUUUCAAUAAAAGCUUUUUUAUUUGACAUGUCGGAGUAACAUGUUUGCUGCACCUCAUAAUGCAUUCUCAGCAUAUGUGUCAGCUACACAUAAUCAUAUUAUAAUAUUCAAUUAUAUUUUAUGUUAUAAUAUAUAUUAUAUAUAUAUCUAAUAUUAUACUAUUAAUCUCAAAAUUUAUUUUUAGAUGAUAAUAAUAUGAUGAAUUUAGAUUUAGUAGCGAUGUGAGUCAUUAUUAUAUCGUUUAUUGCUUUCAGCAACUUCAAUCGCGACUGAAGUGUUAAUAAUAUUUCUGUGUAGUCUGCAGUAUCGACUACGAUCACAAUAUUUUCAAAUUUUGCAAAAAAAAAAAAACAAAAUUCAAUAAAAUAAUAAAUAAUUUUUUAAACAAGAUAAUAGAGUUUAUUUUAGGUAGCGUAGAAAAAAAUUUAAAAAGAAGAGGGAAUGUAUUCUACCCCUAUAGAUAAUAUGAAGAGUCUAAACUAUUUAAAAUUAUUUAUAUAUUUUAAAAUUUUACAAUCAAAAUAAAAAACUAGAUUAGACUUAAAAAUAAAAAAUCUUCUUCUCCACAUAUGAAAGAGAAAAAAAAAUUAAGAAAGAGGAAAAAAAAAAAAAAAAAUUCCCCUCCCUAUCCUCCGGCUGGCCCACCGCACCGAGCCCACCCUAACUGCCCACACUUACCGCCGCCGACGCCCGCUGGCACCCCGUCACCGCCACUCUGCCCUUGCUGCCACGUGGAUUUGAGGAUUUAUAUAUUUAUAUAGAUAUAGAUAUAUUUUUAAAAUAUUUAUUUAAUUUUUCACUCUAUCUUGUCUUAUACUAAUAAAUAUGCCAAAAAAAUAGUAUUGGAAAUCAAAAAAAAAUUAUUUCUUAAAACUUAAAUGCUAAUUUUGAGAGAGAAUUAUUUUCAUGCCCAUGAAAUGAGGAUGGAAAGUAGUUUUAGGAUUAUCAUUUUUACAAGAAAAUAUCUAACAUUUACCCCAAAAGCUUAAUUGAAAUAAAUAAUAAUAAAUAACAUAAAUUAGAGACUUAAUUGCAAUAAUUAAAAAAUUAGAGACAAAAUGUGACUCUCAAUAGUCCCACAUCAGAUAAAUAUGACAUUAUGAAGGAUAAUGUAAGGGAUCAUGGGCUCUUAUUAUAAUAACCGGACUUAAAUAUUUUAGAUCGAUGAUUUAGAUCCAACAAAUUAUUAUUAUUAGCGGAUCGAAACGUUAUAUUUGGUAUCAAAAUCAAUCACCAUCCGGAAAUAUGAGAUGACUCGCUAUAUUUGGUAUCAAAAUCAAUCACCAUCCGGAAAUAUGAGAUAACUCUCAGCAAGUCGAGAUAUUCUGAAAGAUAUUCUGAAAGGGUAUGAAGGAUGCCUUACAUAGCUUAUGGCUGCCACCCUAAAAUAAAAUUAAAUAAAAAAAUUCUUAUAGUUUAUUUUCUGAGUCUUUCAAAUAGAAAGAAAAAUGAAAAUACAAUCUCUCUCAUAUCUUUUGAAAAAUAAAAACACAAUCUCUCUCAUAUCUUUAUUUUUUUAAAAUAAAGUUCCUUAAGAAAGCCUUUAUAAGGUCUUCUUAGGGAGAAUCUUUUCCAAGUUUUUGUUAUAAUCAAACAAAGAAAAAUAGAAGGUUACUACUGACUUAGGUAUCCUUUACAUUUGAUGUGUUUUAUAACUACAUAGAGUUGAAAAUUAAUCAAAAGUUCAUAAUAGUUUGGUUUCUUGUUAAAGUGGGUUAUUCACCAUGGAAUAUGUUAGUAGUAACAUGUGUUGACUGUUUCGCAUUCUUUAAUAUGGAAUCAGAGUAAAUGACUGAAUAUAAUUAUUAAAAUUAAACACUAUUUUCUACCAGUUUAAACUUUUGUAGAAUUUUGUUAAAAAAAUUAUUUGGCAACAUUCGCAUCAUAAUUUGUCUUAUUUAUUUGGCUCUUAAUUUCUAUCUAGCCUUCUUUGCUAAAUUUUUGUGAGAUCUCUUCUAUAUGCACUAAUCUUCAAGUUUUAGUUCAUUGAGGCCUCUUUAUUUAUAGGAAGUUUAGGCCAUCAAAGUGUAAUUAAAGAGAGAGUUAAUCUUAUAUCUAGUUGAGUAUAAAUAAAAUUUUGUUAUAGGCAUAUCAUGUCUUAUUAUAGGAUAUACUACAUAUUACUUGACAAAACAUUAUUGAAAAAAGUGGUAGUAAAUAAACUCUAUGUUAAUAUUUUUUUAUUGCAUUUGUCUUUGUAACGGUCCAAAAUCUCCGUAGUCCCACAAUUUGAAAGCACGGAAAUCUUAAUAUUUUCUUGCCGCAGCAGCUCCAAACUUUUUGGCUCUCGCGUAAUACUCAACUAGAAAAUUGUGGCUAAAAAAAUGUAAAACCGGUCCAAACAAGUACUAAAUCAUCACAAUUUGCCUAUAAAAGGCUCUUAAUUUAGAACUUUUUGUAUGUAGAUCUUGAUAUUUUUAUAAGGAUCAUUUGGAUUCGUAAGAGAGAAGGAAGGAUUGUUUUUUUUUUUUUUCAUUUAAGUAACUUCAUAAUGCCUGUCCUUUGCAAGCAAUUGAGGGGUAACAAAACUAUGACCAUAUAUAAGAAUUUUACAGGUGCUCCUGGAGAGUCCAUUUCUGAUUCUUUCUCUGAUUGAGAGUCGUUGGCUGCUUUCCCUUGCCAUCUGAUUCUGGACACUCUGGUUCAUCAUCACAAUCGGGCAAAGGAACGAAGCCGGCUUCAAUCUGACUAAUAUCCUCAGCCAUCUCGUCGUGAAAAGCCUUCACGUCCUCCGCAGUUUUUCCCGAUAUUUUUGCCGCAAUUCUCUCCCACUUGUCCACCUUGUCCUCUAUGAAUGCACUAAAGAAAGCCCUUUCUUGCUCCUGCUCCACAGCGAGGAGCUUCUCGCCUUAUCGUUGCUCAUUUCGUUUUACUAAGAAAUUUCAGAAUCUCUACAAACAUGGGAGGAAAACAUUUAAAAUUCAAACUAGCAGUGAACAUACUAAUUAAAGAUCAAGAAAUUCUUGUUAGAAGAAAUUCUGCACAAUAUAUUAGGCGAAUAAAUCAGGUGAAUAAAUCAAAAACUAAAAACAAUAAUUCAGAUUUCUUGUUCGCAUUGCGGAUCAAUUCGUCGAAAGAAAAAGAAACAAAAAUGAAAUAAGAACAAGAAUUAUUACAACAAAUCAACCUCUCUCACCUCCUCGAAAGAGCGCGAGAAUCAAAUAGAGCGAGAUGAAGAGCGAAGACAAAGAGGGGGAGCGAACGAGAAGAAGAGCGCAGAGCGAGAGGGAGAGGGAGAGGGAAAGGGUGGUGAGCUGCUUCAAGGGGUUUAGUGUUUACUAGUGAAGUUACCCGCGCAUUGCGGUGGAAUAAUACUAUAGAAGAUAAAAUAUAAACAAAAUAAAAACUUUAAAUUUUUUUAUUUGACAUGAGACUUCAAUAAACACAAAUAUGAAAUAUAAGAGAAAUGUUUCCAUACACCGGCCAAUUUAAAUCCGACCAUUCAAAUUUUUGAGGUUAAGAUUGACUUUCAUACAAUGGUAACCUGCUCAACAAAUUACCAAUCAAUCAUAAAGAUAAUAUUUGAAAAUAUGCAUUAGCUAAUUACCAAAUUUGAUAAUAUCCAACAAAUCUUCAUUUCCCAAUUUAAUUUUGUUACUUACCAAAUUAGAUAAUGGCUAAUUUCAUAAGUGAUAAAUCUUCAUAAAUUCGAAUUUAAAAUUUAACUUGAGUUUAAACUUUAUAUUUAUAAUUGUAUAAAUUAAAUUUAAAUUUUAGAAAGAAAAAUUUAUAUUUAAACGAGUAAACAUUUCAAUUCAAAUUGUCAAUUCAAUAUUAAACUAACAUGAAAGUUCAAAAAUGUUAAUAUCUUUAAAAUUGUAAUUUAAGUUAUAGUGUAUUUAUAAACUUUUAUUAUUUAUUUAAAUAAAAGAUUUCUACAUUUUAAAGUAAGUUGAAAUUGUUAAUUCACUAUUGAAAACAACAUUAAAUUUGAAAAAUAUUGAUCAAAUUUAAAUUAUAAAUUUAGAUUUAAUUUAUAUUAUACUUAAAAAAUAAAUUUUGUUAACUAUUUAAACAUAAAGUUUCAAUGUUUGAAAAUUAAUUUUAAAUUAUAAAUUACUAAAUUUGUAACUCAAUGCGAUCAUAAAUUAUUAUUAAAACCGGUCUUAAAAAUGAAUAAUUUAAUUAAAAAUUUAUUCUCUCCAUGAUUCAAGGGCAGUAUGCAAAACUUUCCAAUAUUAAUUAGUUAUUUAACCUUUUAAUAUUAGCUUUUUUUUCCAAAAAAAUAUCUAGAUUCACAUACCUGGUGACCGGUACUACUUGUGCAAUAGCAGGUCAUCUUUUUUAUGCAUAAAUCUUUACCCUUCGUUGAUUAAAAAUAAACGGCUAAGAUUAGAAUGAAUUAUUGAAGCAUUGCUCAAAAUAUAAAACAAAUAUAUGUAUAGAUAUAGCAAAAUUUAUAAUUUCAGUAAAUAAAUCAUACAUAACAAUAAUGAAAAAAACAAUAAAAAAAUUUCUACCCCACACACACCUUCAUCGCACUAUCGACAUCGGGGAGGUUAAUUCCGAUCUUUACAUCGCCUCCGCCGCUAAUGUCGAGCUCCUCCUUAGUCACGACUAUGCCAAUCCCAUAUAGAUUCUUCGACAUCCACUGCUUGUUCCCCCUCACUGAUUCCAAAUCCAUCACUGUUUCCUCCUGCCGCGCCCCGUCGCGAUCCUCGGAACCCUAAUUUCAAUCCACACACAAUUAAAAAAAAAUUUAAAAAAGUUACAAAACAUGAGCCCUUUUUGUGCGCCAAGAAAAAAAGGAAAAAGAAAAUAAUAUGAAGAAAAAAGUAUGAAGAAACUUUAUUUUACUUAUUUGUUUUUGUGGAAGCAAUUCAUUUAGAUGAUGGACCAUAUAAACACAUUAAUUGAGAGGUGGAAGUUAGGAAGAUAAAGUAUUGGAUGAAGAUGAAACCAUAUAAAUAAAUUAAUUGAGAGGUGUGGGUUAGAAAGAUGAAGCAUUGGGUGGAGAUGGGAUCAUGUAAACACAUUAAUUGAGAGGUGGGGUUAGAAAAAUGAAGUAUUAGAUGAAGAUGGAACUAUAUAAAUACAUUAAUUGAGAUGUGGAGUUAGAAAGAUGAAGCAUUGAGUGAAGAUGGGAGUGGGAAGAGGGAAGCCAACGGUGAAGGAGGAUUCGCCACAUGGCAAAAAUUUAGAAGAAAUAAUGUAUAGGUAUAGAAGGUAUAGAUAUAGAUAUAGAUAUGAUCUUCAUGAGUGUUAUUUUUAUAGAAAUAGAAGGAUAAAUAU